rnacentral:lncRNA from 1 species
UUCUCCUUUUACCGUAUAGGAAAUACUAUGAAAUUUUCUCUUAAAUAUAAUAAAUCGUUUAUCACCUUUCUAAUUUUCUACAAAAAUAAUAAAUUAUUCAUUAUCCUUCUCUUUUAUUAUUUCUUUCUGUUUUGCCAUUUAACUCUAACAAUCAUAUAAAAAUUUCAACAAAUCAUAUACAAUUUUAAUGAUGAAAAAAAUUCUAAUAAUCUAUCCAUAAAAUUCUAACAAUCAAACAACAACGCACAAUUCUAACAACUUUAUUUUUUUUAUUUUUCAUAUAUAAUCCUAACGAGUAUAUACAAAUUUCAACAAAUCACAUACAAUUUUAACAAUCUAAAAAAUCUUAAUAAAUAGUUUUCAAGAAGGUGGUGAAUGAUUCAUCGCUUUUGUAGCAAAUUAGAAAGACGGUGAUGUCACGCCUCGGAUAUCACGUUCCCCGGGCACGCUGACAAAUCUGUCAUAUACAAAGAAAUUUUUUCUGUAUACGAAGCGAAGCUGUAACUGUACCUGUAAUAAUACAACGCUACAACCAGUAGUAUAGAGUUGUAAGGAACAAAACAUAACCUGAUAGCAUAUAAAAGUUCACUAUACAUACAAUAUCUGUAUACAAAAGCUCGCCUCGCGAGAAACAGUAAUGACAGUAUGUAUAAGAACUCAAAAACUACAACUACCUGCAGUUGGUACUCUACUAGCUCUUGCUCGUCUGGUAGGGUUCUAACUCGCGACGCCCUUGUCACGAUCAAGAUCAGCAGCAGCCGACGACGAUGGCUCUGCAAAACGAAAAGGAACAACAGGGCGUGAAAACUACUGUAAAAACAAGUAGUCCUCAGUGGGUGACGCCCUCAACAUUAUCGGUUCACCCACUAAGUUUAUAGAAGGGAGCAAAAAUAGUAGAAGAAUGCUGGAAGAAAAUCUACAGCUACAAGUCACUACACUAUCAUGUUCUAUACUAACCAACUGUAGAAAAUGUCAAUUCUGACCCAAUCCAACUGGAACUGUAAGCAUACCUAUCCCCGGGACUAUGAACAUAACCGUCUCGCCCGGUUGCGACUAUACAGCUACCUCCACACUAAGCGGUCCGUGGAGAGCAAGUUCAACCUGCACGAACAACACCAACGCGAAAGCACAACGCCGUCUCCGGAGUGGCAGUCGUGGGAGCUAUCCAACCGAGUAUGCAGCGUAUCUCUGUCGAGCUCAAUCAGGCUCUUACAAGCCAAAGUCAAGUAAAAGGGUCCAACUGGUCUAACAACCAACAGGUCACUUGCCCUCGGCACAAUCUGACGCCAAAACGGCGAUAGGGGUCCACCAUCAACCCCGACGGCUCCCAACAGUCAGCAACAGUCUGAACAUUACUGUAAAAAUACACUUGGCAUCCGAGCACGAGCGUAAAUGAAAUCUAAACUACAUGGGGUAUUCACCACACUGAUACUGCAGCGAUACAAAACAACAACGGCUCUUAAAGCUAAAUAAGGUAGUUUAAACAUAUGACAGGUUAUAAUCGUUGUUUCUCCUAAGUCAAAUUUCAGUCCAACAUGUGCUAGUAGAUACAUGCAACGAGGAAGCUUCAAUUUAGAUUUUACAUGGAAUAUGCCAAAAUUCAUGAACUGGGCAAAAUCUAUCAAUACAACAACAUAUGUCGACAAACUAUACACUUAGAAAACAAACCGACGAUUAACCUACCUCAAAAGCUAAUCCCAAUCCGGCGCGACGUCGAGAAUGGCGGAAUCACACCCUCGCCCGGCUUCCCCGCGAUACUACGACGACGAACGUAUACUCGAACGGCACCGCGGCGCGACGUCGGUGAAACUCCAACACCACCCAAGCUCCUCCUCCGCACGUACAGCCAAGCUCAAGAGAGAGAGAGCACAGCCCAAAACAUCUCCUCUCUCAUUCUCUCUAUCCUAUAUAGGAGGGAAAAAGGGUGGGUGAAAACAACGAGAGAAGAAAAGACCAAAAAGCCCCUUACCUACUCAAGUGUACCGGUACACGGGCAAAUGUACCGGUACAAAUGGCAACCCGAGAGCAGCUGCGCAAAAUCUGUCGAAGUGUACCGGUACACCCCUGAUGUUGUAUCGGUACAGAAAGUGUACCGGUACGCCUUGAUGGUUGUACCGGUACAACAAGCAAAAAAUCUGCAAUUUGCAGAUUUUCAAAGCUAAGUCCUGCUCUCGCAUCCCCGCUGAGUCUGUUUUGCGUCUAUUUCGCGCCAACACGACUCGGACUUAUCCCGACACUCUCCAGAGCUGUCGAUAAGCCUCUCCGCUGAACACCAGGGAUACCACAUCCUCCCCCACUGCAAAAAGUUUCGUCCUCAAAACUUAAACAUACCUCAGCUCUCGGCAUCGAUCAGAUAGGGGCAGGACUCCCUCAUCACCGUCUCAGGCUCCGAAGUCGCCUCCCGCUCUUCAUGAUUACUCCACUGCACUUUUACAUACGGGAUGACCCUAUUGCGUAAUUCUUUCAUCUCCCGAGCAAGAAUCCGUAACGGUCGCUCAUCUUAUCUCAGAUCUUCGCAAAUCUCUAGUGGAGUGAAGUCGAUCACGUGAGAAGGAUCGAACACAUAUCUCCGCAAUGCCGAGACGUGGAAGACAUCAUGAAUGCCAGCUAGUCGCGGGGGUAGAGCGAUUCUGUAGGCAACUGGUCUAACUCGCUCAAAUACCUCAAAAGGGCCAACGAAAUGUGGACUAAGCUUUCCACGUACUCCAAAUCGGCGAAUCCCUCUGGACGGCGAGACUUUGAGAAAAAUAUGAUCUCCAACCUGGAACUCUAAGUCUCGUCUCCUGGUAUCGGCGUAGCUCCUCUGGUGACUCUGGACUGUCAAAAGGUGUCGUCGAACAACUCUCACAUUUUCCUCAACCUCUAGCAAGAUCUCAGGCCCUAGUGUCCUCCUCUCACCCACAUCACUCAAAAACAAAGGGGAUCGACAUCUGCGUCCAUACAACGCCUCAAACGGAGCCAUCUGGAUGUUCGUUUGAUAGUUGUUGUUGUACGCAAACUCAGCCAGUCUUAAAUGUCGAUACCACCCUCCUCCAAAAUCCAGGACGCAUGCUCUCAGCAUGUCCUCUAGAAUCUGAAUGGUCCGCUCUGACUGACUAUCUGCCUGUGGGUGAAACGCCGUGCUGAAAUGCAGCUGUGAACCCAAGGCUGUCUGAAGACUCCGCCAAAAGUGUGAAACAAACCUCGGGUCCCUGUCCGAUACAAUCGACAUCGGCACACCAUGCAGCCUGACGAUCUCAUCCAAAUAUAGCUGCACGAGUUUCUCUCUGGAUCAGGUGGUCUGAACCAGUAAGAAGUGAGCAGACUUGGUCAGUCUGUCCACUAUCACCCAAAUAGCAUCGAAACCACCCUGUGCUGUCGGCAACCCCACAACAAAAUCCAUCGUCAUCUGCUCCCAUUUCUACUUGGGCACUGGCAGACUCUGAAGCUUGCCAGCAGGUACCUGAUGCUCGGCCUUCACCUGUUGACAAGUCAGACAUUGAGCCACAAAUUUGCCAAUGUCCCUCUUCAUUCCGUUCUACCAAAACUGUGCCUUCAAGUUCUUAUACAUCUUGGUUCCACCAGGGUAAACCGUAUAAGGAGAACAAUGAGCAUCUCUCAAAAUAUCCGCUCGGAUCUCUAUAUCCAUAUGCACACACAGUCGGUCCCUGUACCGCAGUACUCCUGAAUGUACUCCUGCACUGGCCGAUCUCCCUGCUGAAUCCUCUUCAAAUCCUUCUCGAGCUUCUGUUUCAUACUGUUGGGAAAAUACAUCCCAAACAGCAUUCCACAGAAUUCAUCUCAUCUCAGCUGCAACGCUACCAAUCCCUGAUCACGCCUCACUUUCCUCCACUAGGCGUGUGCAUCGCCUGCCAAGCAAUGGACUCCCAAAGAUACCUGCUCCCACUCAGGAAUGAACAAAUCCUCAAAUAGCUUCUCCGUCGCACUGACCCAUCUCUCAAUGACCCAGGCCUCAGUGCCACUGCUAUUGAAGGUCGGCGGAUCAAAACGGCGAAAACGAGCCAGCCUCUCGGUCAUCCGCUCCUGCUCUGCCUCGGUCAUCUGUACCGGCCCUCUCGGAGGCACAACGGGUGCCACAGGAAUCUCCACUGGCAGGGUCACAACUGCGGCUGGUGCUGCGGCUGGAGUAGUCGGAGGUGGAACCGACGGCUCCGGUGCUCUCGGUACUGAACCCUGUGGCGGAGCCACCCUCUCACACAACCUCUCCAACAACUCCCCCUGUCGCCUCGUCACCUCCGUCAAGGCAGCCAACUGUUCACUCAAAUCAGGAGGUUCACCCACCUACGGUCGGGCCCUCUACUCCGCAACCGGGAGUGCACUCGCCUCUGCCUGCUCCGGCAUCUCAGGAGGUACAACGUGAUCCUGAGUCAACAGUGCACGAUCUCGCGCAGACGUUCGACCUCGGCGACGAUACAUAGCUGCAAGAAAUAGAACGGGGUCAGAUCAAACAAACACUCUCGACCCAAUCAACGAAAGUCUAGAAGGCGGCCUCUGUUUCUCCUCAAAAUUAUGUCGUCUGCAGCCGACAUAAUUUUUCUGGACCGAAACAGAAACUCCUUCAAUCACUCACUCCACUCUAGGAGUAGUUAAAACAAUUAAUCAUUGACUUUCGCGAUAAAUCACGCCUCUUGCGUCUUGCCUUCCUAAGCUUUGCCAAACUUAGGUUUCCUAGGUCCCAAAGACCUAAUGCAAAGCUCUAAUACCAACUUAAUCUGUCACGCUCCGGAUAUCACGUUCCCCGGGCAUGCCGACAAAUCCGCCGUAUACAAAGAAAUUUUUUCUGUAUACAAAGCAAAGCUGUAAUUAUACAUGUAAUAAUACAACACUACAACCAGUAAUAUAGAGCUGUAAGGAACAAAACAUAACCUGGUAGCAAAUAAAAGUUCACUAUACAUACAAUAUCUGUCUACAAAAGCUCGCCUCGCGAGAAACAGUAAUGACAGUAUGUAUAAGAACUCAAAAACUACAACUACCUGCAGCUGGUACUCCACUAGCUCUGGCUCGUCUGGUAGGGCUCUAACUCACGACGCCCUUGCCACGAUCAGGAUCAGCAGUAGCCGACGACGAUGGCUCUGCAAAACGAAAAGGAACAACAGGACGUGAGAACUACUGUAAAAACAAGUAGUCCUCAGUGGGUGCCGCCCUCAACAUCAUCGGUCCACCCACUAAGUCUACAGAAGGGAGCAAAGAUAGUAGAAGAAUGCUGGAAGAAAAUCUACAGCUACAAGUCACUACACUAUCAUGCUCUAUACUGACAAACUGUAGGAAAUGUCAAUUCUGACCCAAUCCAACUGGGACUGUAAGCAUACCCGUCCUUGGGACUGUGAACACACUCGUCCCGCCCGGUUGCGACUAUACAGCUACCUCCACACUAAGCGGUCCGUGGAGAGCAAGUCCAACCUGCACGAACGACACGAAGGCGAAAGCACAACUGUCACCCCCCGCCUCGAAACCACUACCAAUUUGGCAUGAUUCGGGCGCGCCAGGCGUACCGCCAAACGGACAGCACCUCUCCUGUCCGCCCAAGGCUCAACAACAGAAAUAUGUAUAAGAAUUUACCCAGGAAAUACAAAUUCUAAACAUACACAUUCAACGGGGCACAAACAGUGCCAACAACAACAAGAGUAAGUAAUCUACAAGUAAAAAUAAGUGAAAUAAAGAGAGUACUUUACUAACUAUUAUAAUAGUUUUGCAUGUACAUCUUUUUUCCAAAAUGAAUAUAUUUGUUCAUCAAAAUACAUAGCUCUCCAACCUCACCUACAUGAAUCUCUCUCAAUACAUAGGUGUGUUAAUGCAAAAAGGAAAGCUACUAUACUACCACGGUCUCACUGAUCGGGCGCGAUGCCCUUGCCGCGGUCCUCGCUCGGUAAACCUGUACCUACCACUGGAAAUAGAGUGGGGUGAGAACUAUCUUCCAUAGUUUCCAGUGGGCUCGGCCGCCGACUCCGUCAGUCUCCCCACUAGGUCCAAGUGGGCACAAGUAACAACAAGUAGAUAGAUAGAUAGACAUCUCAAAGCUGUAAAUGACAUAAUAGGAAAUCUAUGCUACUAUGCCUAUAAUCAUGUGUAAUGAAUGCAUGCAUCAUAUAGUAAAAGUUUACUACCAUGCUAACAAGUUCGAUCCAUGUUCGAAUAAUAAUGUUCAAUGACAAUACUUGUUUUUCAUUUACCCAAUCUAUGGCGAGACCCUUGGGUUCGCCCUCAACUCACUUUUACAUCCCAUUUGGGUAGGGAAGCUCCAUGUGCCCCCAAAUCCGGGACUGUCUGUGGACCUCCAUGUGGUCCCUAUCGCCCGACACUCCGGAGUACUCGACGACAAUCCUCUCCAUGUGAGGAUAUGGAUGGCUAUACCACCCCAAAUAACAGACCGUGAGCUAGAUCUAUCCUCUCCAAGUGAGAAUACUCUACGAACUAGGGCCAACAUCUCGAACGAACUCAUCUACAUUCUCUCCAUGUGAGGAUACUUAGCUUUACUAAGUUUUUUGUCCACAAGGCAUUUUCUAAGGGAUUCAUCUAUCCUUAGGUUCUCAAACCUCUAGUGUCAAGUACACUACAUUAAUGCCAUUCGUUUGUUCUUUCGACAUUUAGAUGCCACUCUGUAAGUCACUAGAUAACCCUCAAGUUCACCUCUUUUCUUUAGCACUAUAGGAUCUAAUGUUCCGACCCAAUCCUCACCUAUCGUAUUCACCUAGCAUUCCAUGCACACUAGGUUACCAUUUAGAAAGCAUAAGGAGAAGGUUAAACAUGCAAUCCCACAAUACAACAUGCAAGAUAUGAAAUUAUAUAUUAUUCUAAGAUAUAGAAAAGAGUCCGGUUGCUUCGAGAUGACACCCCCACCUUUUCUUAACGUAGAGGUUCUAGAAAUUCUCUCUGGCGAACUUUACGACGAGGUCUCGGCCUUCUUAGUCCAAAACGACGCUCAAUCGGCCUUAUUUUGCCGAUAGCUCUUCACCCGCUUCACGAAUCGAAAAUCGGACUUCGCCCCCGCAUUUAGACACCUAGCAAUUAGGUUUACAAGGCCUCAAAUGAGAUCAAUCUCAUACUUUACCAAAAAUCCUAUUUUAGGUGCCCUAGGGUUCCAUCUUGCCAUUUGCACCAUGAACCCUAGCCUCUAGCUCUAAUCCACCAUUAAUGGUGCUAGAGGUCCAUUUGACCUCAUUUCAAAAGCUCAAAAUCCAAAAAUCCUAGAUUCUACAUGUUAGGUUUCAAGAGCUUACCUCUAGGUUAGCUCCAAAGGAAGAGGAGAGGGAGAUGGAGAUGUCCAAAGUCUUCCCUUUGAUCUCUUUCUUCUUCUUCUCCUUUCCUUCAUUCUUCUUCUUCCUCUUUUCUUCUUUUUCCUCUCCUUUGUUCUUUCUUUUCUAGAGAGAGAGAGUGAGCAAGAGAAUGAGAGAGAGAGAGAGGGAAAUAAGAGGCUGAGGGAGAAAGAGGGCCCAUAUGCCUCUCUAAUAUAACAAAAUCCAUUUUAGCUUCUCAACUUUUCAUCCUGUACACAACCUUCACUGGGCAGUUUUCGCCCAGAGGGACCGGUCCCUCGUCGAGGAGACCGGUCUCCGAGAGCAGUCCUCGCGGCCAGAUGGCCUCUUCGCGUUCGGGAAUCGGUCUCUCCCCGGAAGACCGGUCCUCGGGAGACCGGUCCUUGCCUGAGAGACCGGUCCCCGAGAGCUUGAUUCUCAGGACUUAGCUGAUUUUGGCCAUCUCUCGCUGGCGUCGCACACAGGGACCGGUCCCCUCAACCUGAGACCGGUUGCAUCAAGAAUCCCCAGCAACCACCAGCCUCGGGGACCGGUCUCUCCCUGCCAGGGACCGGUCCCCGAGAGCAGAAUCUACCCAGUGCAGAUUUUCACAUCAUUGCUCUCGUGGACUCAAUUUCAAUGCACUUUUUGUGUUUUGGACAACUUUAGCUUUCCCGAAGAAUACUCACUCGACAAUUAGUCGAUCCUGGACGAAGUACAACUCUCGGAUUUCGAGAAUUCAGCCUUCACUGGGCAUUUUUCGCCUAGAGGGACCGGUCCCUCGUAGGGGAGACCGGUCCCCGAGAGCAGUCCUCGCGGCCAGAGGGCCUCUUCGCGUUCGAGAACCGGUCUCUCCUCGGGAGACCGGUCCUUGCCUGAGAGACCGGUCCCCGAGAGCUUGAUUUUCAGGACUCAGCUGAUUUUGGCCCUCUCUCGCUGGCGUCGUACACGGGGAUCGGUCCCCUCAGCCUGAGACCGGUUGCAUCAAGAAUCCCCAGCAACCACAAGCCUCGGGGACCGGUCUCUCCCUGCUAGGGACCGGUCCCCGAGAGCAGAAUCUGCCCAGUGCAGAUUUUCACAUCAUUGCUUUCGUGGACUCAAUUUCAAUGCACGUUUUGUGUUUUGGACAACUUUAGCUUUUCCGAAGGAUACUUACUCGACAAUUAGUCGAUCCUGGACGAAGUAUAACUCUCAAAUUUCGAGAAUUCACUUCCUUACAACAACGCCCGUCUCUGGAGUGGCACUCGUGGGAGCUACCCAACCGAGUAUGCAGUGUAUCUCUGUCGAGCUCAAUCAGGCUCUCACAAGCCAAAGUCAAGUAACAGGGUCUAACUGAUCUAACAACCAACAAGUCGCGUGCCCUCGGCACAAUCUGACGCCAAAACGGCGAUAGGGGUCCACCGUCAACCCCGACAGCCCCCAACAGUCCGGAAUAGUCUGAACAUUACUAUAAAAAUACACUCGGCAUCCCAGCACGAGCGUAAGUGAAAUCUAAACUACUUGGGGUAUCCACCACACUGAUACUGCAGCGAUACAAAAUAACAACGGCUCCUAAAGCUAAAUCAGGUAGUUUAAGCAUAUGACAGCUUAUAAUCGUUGUUUUCUCCUAAGUCAAAUUUCAGUCCAACAUGUGCUAGUAGAUACAUGCAACGAGGAAGCUCCAAUUCAGAUUUUACAUGGAAUAUGCCAAAAUUCAUGAACUGAGCAAAAUCUAUCAAUAUAACAACACAUGUCGACUAACUAUACACUUAGAAGACAAACCGACGAUUAACCCACCUCGAAAACUAAUCCCAAUCCGGCGCGACGUCGAGAACGGCGGAAUCGCACCCUCGCCCGGCUUCCUCGUGAUGCUACGACGACGAACGUACACUCGAACGACACCGCGGCACGACGUCGGCGAAACUCCAACACCACCCAAGCUCCUUCUCCGCACGUACGGCCAAGCUCAAGAGAGAGAGAGAGCACAGCCCAAAACAUCUCCUCUCUCCUUCUCUCUAUCCUAUAUAGGAGGGAAAAAGGGUGGGUGAAAAUAACGAGGGAAGAAAAGACCAAAAAGCCCCUUACCUACUCAGGUGUACCGGUACGCGGGCAAAUGUACCGGUACAAAUGGCAACCCGAGAGCAGCUGCGCAAAAUCUGUCGAAGUGUACCGGUACACCCAUGAUGUUGUACCCGUACAAAAAGUGUACCGGUACGCCUUGAUGGUUGUACCGGUACAACAAGCAGAAAAUCUGCAAUUUGUAGAUUUUCAAAGCUAAGUCCUGCUCUCGCGUCCCCGCUGAAUCUGUUUUGCGUCUAUUUCGCGCCAACACGACUCGGACUUAUCCCGACACUCUCCAGAGCUGUCGACAAGCCUCUCCGCUGAACACCAAGGAUACCACAGGUGAAUCAUUUACCGUUUUCAUAAAGGCGAUAAAGAUUCACCAUCUUUAAGAGAAAAUUUCACUGUAGCUCCUACAUGGCAAAAGUAGGGUUAUUUAGCCAAAUUUUUUUAGCAGGAUUAUUUAACCAAUUAUAAUAUUUUCUAGGAUUAUUUAGAAAAAAAGGCCAGGAUCAUAUGUAACAUUUAUACUAAAAUUAAUAACUAGUGCUAGCGGAUUAGAUCGCUAUAGAUAGUAUCAGAGUCAGUUUAUCAGUUGGAAGUGUGACAAGGACGUUAAGACCUAAACAUAAGCAUAAUUUUAGUUCAUGUGUGUGCGACGGACACACUAAAAUUAAUAACUGAAUUUAAAUAUUUUAGGUUCAUGGUUAGAUCCGAUAAAUUAUUAGUACUAAUGGGCUGAAUUAUUGCAGUGGCAUGUGACUAGUGUGAUGCUUCUAUUUUCCGGUGGCAUGUGACUAGUGUGAUGCUGCUAAUUUCCCGAUAUGGUUACGAAAGAGACAAUGGAGUUAUGCGUGGGGGGGGGGACGUUUGGCUUCUCACGUCUGUUGUGUAUGGUUAAGAAAUAAGAAGUGACAAUUGCUGCUUCUGGCCCAAAUCUAGAGUUCUAGACCAGCAUGGUCAUUUUAGCCUUUUGAAUAACUAGUUAAGGACCCGCGCUUCGCGGCGGGUAGGCAGAAAGCACUAAACACACAGUAGUAAAUAAUAAACAACAAAUAUAUAUAUAUAUAUAUGGAGCAGGGCUGUUGUGCUCUCAGGAGCACGGAGGCCUCCGUGCUCUUGAGCCGUUUUCGAUGAUGGAGUUUUCGAAUCGACGAUCGGCUCCGUUAAACUUGAUCUAGCGUAUUUAAAGUUUAUAGAAAAUAAUUUUUACGAUUUUUCGAUAUCAUUUACCUAGCAAUCAAAAGGAUUUAAAAUCAAUAAUUUUUAACGGCUGAAAAUAAAAAUCCUAUAAAAAGUGGUGAUAUAGCACUAAAAUUUUCGAUCAGAAAUAUAGAUCUUGUUGUAGAUAGUAUAAAGAAUUUUCUAUCAAAAUUUCAUCUGAUUUGAAUACUUCUACACCGUUAAACUUGAAAACGGCAGAUAUCAACCAUUAAAAAUUAUGGAUUUGGAAUAAAAAAUCCUUUCGAAUCACUAGUAAUAUAUCCGAAAAAAACAAUCGCAAAAAUUAUUAUUCUAGAACUUCAAAUGCGCUAGAUCAAUCUAACGAGCGAUCGGCGAUUCGAACAUUCCCAUCAUCGAAAACGGCUCAGGACACGAGGCCUCCGUGCUCCUUGAACGACAGCACCGCGUGCUCUAUAUAUAGUAUAUUAUAUAAUGUUGUAUAUAUUAUAUAAUAUAUACUGUGUAUACUAUAUUAGUUAUAUUUUGUAAUAUAUUAUAUUGUAUAUAUAUAUCAUAUAAAAUAUAUAUAUAUAUAUAUAAAUAAUAUUUUAUGCUGUUAUCUAUAAAUAUAAUAUAUAUAUUAUAUAUAUUAUAAUAUAAUAAUAUUAAAGAUUAGUUCAAGUCCGAAGAUAUAGCAAAACAAAUGUUGGUCAAGAAUGAUGCUCGGAGCAAAAUCUUAUUCCAAUCAGCAGUAGUCUGAGACAACUAAUCAGCAGCAAUCUGGGGGCCAAUCCAACAGGCAUAUCAUCAGCAGCAAUCUUAUUGCAAUUAGCAGCAGUCUGAGAACAGUCAGAUAAAAAUUGGAUUGCCCAAGCGAGAAUAGAAACACGGGAGAGUAAAAGUAAAUAGUUUGUCAUGCACCUAUAGCCGAUCAAUAGAGCAGCAAGUUUGACAACGUUGAAAACAAAUCUGCAGUAAAAAAGUAGAGUUAAUAAAUCUCAUAACGUUUGGUCAGGAAUAAAAAAAAAAAAAUUUAUAAGAAUGCAAGUUUAGGAGCAAAGAACUACUCAGCUUGCCUUGCAACUGGAGGUGAAGAGUAGAGUAUCCGAUGCGAAUACUCCAGAAAUAAUACGCCGAAAAUAAAUCUGCGGGGAAAAAAUUGGAGAAGUAAAUUACCGAGAGGACAAAAAGUAAACAGAUCGAUUUCUCCUUAAAACGAAAGAAGGAGAAAAAAUAAAUGGAUAUUCAUUUCGGAUCCAGAACAAAAGCUCGCCACUUAAACUAAGCUGGGAAUUAACAAUUCUGACAGCAAACCACAUUUUGCAAUGAAAUAAUUUUCUUGGGAUCCUUGUUUCAAGUAUCAAAGCAAGAAAACUAAACCAAAAUUUGAAAAAACUCAAGAAAAUAGAUAAAGAGAAAAGGAAGAAAAAGGAAGAAAUAAGGGAUUCUAAACGCUGCGGAAAGCAGCAAACUACGUUACGAAUACAACAAAUUCAUGCAACGCUCAGAUUUGUGGAUCCUCAAAAGCGAAUCCCCAAAAGUAAAAGGAUACGAUAAUUCCAGAAAAUAAUAUGUGGAACAAACAAACAGCAACAAUAAUAAUCAUGUGUAUAACAGAAAUCUAUACAAGGCUCAUUUUCAUUCUUCCCCUAAAGUAAAGGGGCAAGAUAAACAUGGCUCAGUUUCACUCUUCCCCUAAAGUAAAAAGGCAAGAUAAACAUUGUGUGGAUAGGGACUUUGCAAUAAUAGCCACCGACUACAACAAAUGCCAUGAGGUCAUUCGACGCCAUGCCAUUGCGGCCAAAUUCGGUAGGGAAGGCAACAUCUGGGGGCCAAUCCAACAGAGCAUAUCAUCAUUGCCUCACUCAAAGGAGCACCGAAAGCAAUAGCAAAAUCGAAGAUAAAAGGUGUAUUUCAGGAAAAAAGCAAAACUUCCAUAAUGGAGACAGUAAAACUUCAUUCCUUAAUGCAACGUGGGUUGCAUUUGUUCUGCUUCAAAAGUUUCCAUGCCAAAUAUAUUAUGAUACUCAUAAUAUCAUGUCAUCAAUCCAACUUAUUUCAAGUCAAGGUCUGCUGAUUGGAAUAAGUAACAUAUUGCAAGAAAGAAACCAUGCAUAAAAUCUUUUAAGUAUUACAUGGUAUAGAAAGUUAGUUCUACAAAAAAGUGAUAAGCAAAUGAUCAUUUCAAAAGUGAUAAUCCCCCAAGGCCAAAAUCCUCACACAAUAUCAUCUCAUUACUUAAAUUAAUAGCUAAAAAGCAUCCAUUAUACAUAUUUUCCGAUUUCACUUCUCAAUCUACAAUAACAAAAAAUGUUAAAAAAAACAUCUAACUUUUUUUUAUGUUUCUCAUCAAUUUCUCAACAACAUGGCAAAACCCACAACAUCAAAUUACAAAAACCACAUAAGAAAACACAUAUAUAAGGUGUUUUCGCUGCUUGUAAUUCACUGCGGAUGGAUCUCUCAACCAAAAAAUUCUAAAAAAAAAUGGAAAAAAAAUUGGGGAAAAAAAAGGAGAUUAUAGUGAGGAGGGAGGAGGGACUUGGGGAGUGCGACGGAGAAAUCUCGGAAGGUCUCGGCUAAGAAUCCCCCUCUGGGUGUGGCUUCAAAACCAAAAGCGACGUGAUCUGCGAAGAGAUCUUCGCAUUCGCGGAGCUCCCUAUCAUCUUUGAUCUCCUAUAAUACUUUUAGAGAGAGAAAGAGAGAGGCUGAGACAGAGAGAGAGUGAUCACUUGAGCUCUAUUGCUAUAUUUGCGGCCGAUUUUGUGGGAUUUGAAGACAUGGACAUCCACAUCUGUGGGAUCGCGAAGCGGUGGUAGCGCGGCGAUAGCGCGGCGGUAGGGCGGCGGUGGGGCGGCGAAGCCUGUACAAAACCUAGGGAACCUAGGAGGGACCCAAGCACGGGAGCGAGCGAGCGAGAGAGAGAGACAGAGAGAGAGAGAAAGAGAGAGAGAGAGAGAGGCGCGAGCGUGGUGCAUGGGACCCACCCGGAAAUUGCGGAGCGAUAGGAGAAACGGUUCUCGGUUCGCCCAGAGCGACGGGAGGUCCGAAAUCACGAAGAACACAGCAGGAGGUCCGAAAUUACGGAGAACACAGAAAAGGGGUUAAGAGUUCACCCUUUAAUGAUAUUGGAUAGAUGCUUUGAGUACCCAAGAAUAUACCCCACAUACCCCAGUAGCAAAUCACAUUCCAAACGAAAAUAUAUUUUUUCUCAUACAUUGGAAAUAAUCUCACAAUCUUAUUAGCCAACCCAAAAAAGUGUAGUGCCCAAAACAUUUAUCUUUGCUAAAACAUGCCAUUUUAACUGCACUAUAUUUAUAACCGUAUCAAAAUGACAAUUAAGAUGGAGACUAAGGCAUACACCUAUGGUUGUUUCACAAUCUUUUAUGCAUUUUAGGACAUAAUAAAAACACAUUAAGAAACGCUUUUAAACUCUCCACCAUACUUUUAGUAUUAAAGUCAAAUAAUUACAAUUAUUUUUAAUUUUGUUUAAUUAUAUAAAAUAUAGAAGUAGGUAGUUUUGACAAUGCUAAGAUCUUUCCAGAAGGUUGAAAAAUGUACACACAAAGAUCCAAAUCGACAAACUCGGAUGUAGCCACACAAUUGACAAAGUUCACAAAUAUUAAACCAGAACCAGAACAAGCGCUUGUUAUCCAACAUGCAAAAUGGAAAACGAAAAUCCUCCGAAAUUAGCAAAAUCAUCUUGAAAUCAAGACUUCUAAGCAGCUCAACUCCUCAAAAACAAUAAGCACUAUCGGGAAGUACAUGAUUAUCUAGCUAGUACAAACCCAACCAAAGGCACCAAAAUGUAUUAAUACUUCAAAGCAUGCAUGUCACCGAACUGACGUUCGACCACAUAUCUCAUCAGCGCAGCCUCCUCGCCUCACGCUCGGACUCGAGAAGGGUGAGGAUAUCGCCUUCUCUCACUGGUCCCUUAACAUUCCUCAUGAUGAGCCGGUUCUGGUCGUCCAAGAACUUGACCCUGACCUGGGUCACCUGACCCCUCGAUCCGGUCCUGCCCAUCACCUUCACCACGACUGCGAGCUUAACUUGAGAAUCCAUUCUGCAUUUUAAGCAUUGAAACAGCAUCAUGGAUACGCCUAGAAGUAGCAACUUUAAUAACAAGAACACCACUCCGAUGAAUUUAGUAACAUUUACAGAAAAAUCAAGAGUCCCUACCGGUUGCAUGUCUAGGCAUGAGGAAUAGAUAUUGUUCUAAACUUCUAAUGAAAGAGCAGAAAAUUAUAUAUUAUCUACAAAAUAUUAGCACAAUGAAAAGUGACGUGUCAGAUGAUGAUAAUCGAGGAUUAAAAAGCAUUAACAACACUUAAUGCCCUCUCUAGAAAUUGCAUUGGAGAUUGCUGAGUUUUCAUGACUCAAAGAGUAUAAUCUCAUUUAAAAGCUCAAUGAUGUUUAAGCUGUACAUCAAUUGUACAAUUCUCAACAAAUCUGUUUUAUCGCUAUCAAACAAAAAUAUCUACUUCACUAAACAACUUUUCCUGUAAUAAGAAAGCUAUUUCGUAACUCCCUGUUCUACCCUUCUAGAGCUCUAUAUUAGUUAUAAACUCUGCACUUCCUCGAUCCUAAGAGUACUCUGAAGCCUGAUGACUGUAUGUGUAACUGAUGAAAUCAGGAAAUGCAAAUCUAUCAACCAAUAUAAGAAUCAAUCUAAGAAAGGAAUGUUAAUGAAUUGCAUUCCUUUCCCUCAAAAAGAUUCUGAUUGCUGUGCGCCCCUGUCUGAACCGGAUGCAAAUGUCUGACAUACAACAACCGGUUAUUCAAGGGGCGACUUCACUAUUAUAAAAAGUCUAAAGAGUACUUAGACACCACAAAGAAGAAAUAUUAACCAACAGAAGAAAACAACAGACAGAAAUAAAAGGAAAGGACUAAAGGAUAAUAAUAUCUAAGGCUGCUUGGAGAACACCAUAUUGCAGUCAUGAUGUUCCCUCAAAAGGGCCUGGGAGGAUUCAUAGUAUCCUUCUCUCUACGCCUCCUAACUAAGCCAAGAUGGUAGAAAAAACCACAAAGGCUACUCAAAGAGGCAUAUAGUAACAAUCUACAUAGAAAGGGAACACAGAGUUGCAGUAAGAGAGAAAGAGAGAAGCAAAAACCUUAUUUUCAAGGAUGGGAACUUAACUGUGCAUCACUCUUUUUCAACAAGAAAACAUGGAAUGAUUGAAAACUAACUGAUUUCCUUUCCAACUCCAUCUUCUUCACAGUACAAGGGUGUCUCGACCUUUCCAAAAUAGAUGCGCUUGGUUCUUUAUCACAAAAUUGCUAAUACACUGAUGUCGACCAUUAUAAAGAUCAACAGGAAUAAGUCUAAAAUUUUCUUUUUCUUCUAAAAUUUUCCUUUUCUACGUGGCCACACUUCUAUAAUUACUAUCAGAUGCUUUGUCUAACUUAAAUACUCUGUAACUUUAUGAAACAUUUGCUGUCAUCCAUUGCGAUAAUUUCAAAGCAAACUCUCUAAAUUUCAACAUGAACAAUCUUAUCUUAUGCUCGCAAGCUAUAAUUAACAUCUAUAUAGUCCGUAAUAACUGUAAGUUUCACUUACCUUUCACUUCCCUAUUACUUCUCUAACAGUCCCAUCCUGCAGCAUAGACUCUAUACUAACUGUUGGUGAAAAAUUGGUGAAAAAUUGCUUUACAAACUUAGGCCUAUUUUGAAACAAUGAAGCUCUAAAGCACUUUCGGACUGUUCUAGCACUCUACAACAUUCAAUGCAACUACUUCAGGCAAAGCAGUCCCAGCAUAGUCCUUACUGUAUAUAGUGAAUAACCUCCUCAUUAGUACCCUCCACCUCUUCCCCCUGUACCUCUCUUAAACGAUAACUACCUGAUUCUAGAUGUUCCCUUUCUUCAACACCAAGAAUAUUCAUACACUGCCAUAAAACAGACACAAAGGGCUAAAGAGAAAAAAAAAAUUAAUACAGAAAGACCAAAUCUCCCAAAGAAAAUAGAAAUAUUGUGGUUCUUCUCCGGUUACCAUCCAUCCAUACCCUAUGUAAGCGAAAUGCAAAACAUAUUCAUGUACCUAAUUCUUCUGAAAGUUGCAAGAGGGAGAAAAUAGCAUAAUCCAUAUAAAAGUCCAAAAAAAAAAAAAAAAAAACCAAUAAUUGCAAAGGAGGAUAACAAUGUGUAAGGCUGCUUGGAGUUGGAGGCACCAUAAUAGAGGGGACGGAAAGUCCAAUCAAAAGAGCCAAGAUCAUCCAUUCAAGCCCAUCUUUAUAUGCCUCCUAACUAAGCCAAAAUGGUACAGGCUACCAUGGCAGCCACUCAAAGAGGCAAAUAUCGAUAGUUAUAGAGAGAAGAUAGAGGAGAAAAAAGAUGGAAAGGGCUAGAGAUUAUGCAACAUCAAAAGGAUGAGUGCAGAACAUAAGUCUUGAAGAUAAACAUUAUUGCCAUAGGCGCACACGGAUAAGCGUUCAUAGGUACAAAAGCUUGCUAUUUGGCAUGGCUGUCUAAAUGGAGCUGGCCUCCAGAAAGUGCAUCAAAUGUUCAUAUGUAAUAUUUGAACCCAUGACUUCAUUCUUAAAAAUGUCUAUGAAUUGGGCUAUUUUGCUCUUUCAUAUUUCCUUUUGUAAUUAUAAUCAGUUUUUCCAAUUUUUAACUUCCUACAGCAUUUUCAAGUCCCAAUUAAAUCACUAGAAUAAAAAUAAAAAAUAUACGACGCAAAAACUCUAGGGUACAAUCCUAAAUGCUAAAUUCUUUUUGUUCAGUAGUGAUGUUAUUUAUGACGGUUUAAGUAGAUAAUAUGAAAUAAGUUAACCAAGGAUAACCAAAAAGAAGACAGCAAGCUGAUAAAAUCUCAUGAGCUAGAGUAAACGAUGGAGAGCUAAUAUUUGAUUCUUUUUAAUGCAGCCACCACAUUCACCUAUGAAAAUAUGCUUUCACUAUAUAGUUUUGAAUUCUUACUGUCUACAUAUGAGUGCUUGAAUUUUAUUUAGCUAAAUAAUGAAUUUAGUAGACAUGACAAAUAAAAAACCUGAAGUUCCCAUGAAAACUCUAAGAGUUCAACCCUUAUUGACGGUAAAAGCAUCAUGGACAUAACUUGACUAUAAGUAAGCAGGCAUAUAUUUCUAGAACAUUGGACCAUCUUUGGACAUAAUUUGACUAUAAGUAAACAGGCAUAUGUUUCUAGAAGAUCAUCCAAUCACAGAGAGUCAUGGCCGAAUUCCGAAAAUCUAAUCCUACAUUUUAGACUUAGGUGUUCUUUUGUGUCAGUGCCUACAUAUCAAUUAAGACAAUGCCACAGCGAUCAAAACAGCCUCAAACAAGCCCAAGGGUGCAGGUACAGGUCAACACAAGUCAUAAAUUUGAUGCAAGGAUUUAAGUGCCGUGGCACGGGGUCGUGCCGGAAACUUGCUGGCACGGUAUGGCACGGUGUGUGUCGAGCCGUGCAGAUGCGUGCCGGUCAAAAAAAUUCUUGCGUGCCGACACAUAAUAGCAUGAAAUAUUUAUUUUCUUCAGCAACAAAAUAUUCUAACUAUUUAUUAUAUCUUUUUAUCACAUCUUUUGAACUUUAUUAAGGAAAUUACUUACUAAUUUAAAGAAUAGUGUUUUAAGCUAUGCCAUCGGUACAUGGUCUAUAUCGUGCCGGUAUCUUGUUGGCACGGUAUGGCACGGUGGAUACGGUCCGUGCAGACGGACACUUAAAACCUUGAUUUGAUGAAUACAAGGAGAGAAAAAGAAAGUCUUGUUUAGCAAAUAGCUGAUAGUUGCCAACUUCUACGAAUUGGAAUUCACCUUGUGGGGCAUUUGGAUAUGGCAUUUUUGUCAACAAUUAGAUAACAAUAUAUGUAAAAACACAGAUAUCCUUUGAUGAGCUUGAUUAGGGUUGACAUAAACCCAGUCUAAAGAAUAGUUCAGAAUGUCACAAUGAUUUGAUCAAACCAAUGAGCUUAUCAAACCAAACAGCUACGCUAAUCUUUGAAUCUAAAAUUUGUUCAAAAAGUUAGAAUCACAAGUUAGCCAUUUAGAACCCGACGAUCCAAACGAGGAAGGGAAGGUCGAAAGAAGCAAUUUUUACAACUGUAUCAACUUUCUCAUACAAUCACAAUGGAAUCAAACCACCCAAAAUAUAUAUAUAUACCACUUUGAGUUGAGAUAGUUGCAUAUAAUGAAACAAAAGGAGCCAUUAUACCAGAACCCAAGUGAUAUGCUAGAUCAUAUCAACUUCGCAAGAAACAUAAAUGGACUAUUAUAGCACAGAUUUGUGUUCUAUUCAAUAAAAUAGAUCAAGACAAAGCACCAACUUUACGAACACUACAAAAUCAUGCAAUUAAUUCCUAGCAACCAAAAAAGAAAAGCACCAACCAGAAUCAUAUUGAACCCUAUCACAUCGAGAUCAACCUCAAAUAAAUAGUUAAUCACAAGAAACUACGAAUAAACAGCACUUGAAAAAAAAAAAAAAAUCCUGAAAAGGAACCGAAAAAGACGAUUCUUAGGAGGUUGUAGAAAGAUUUAAUCUUGCCGUGUUAGACGAUAAAACCCUAAUUCGCCAUGUCUCACCUCGCAGAGCGUUGAUCGUCUUCUCCGAGUAUCAGCGGCGGCUGCGGAAAUAGAUGAAUCACAAAAACCCUACCUUCUCGCUUGCUCGUUUAUAUAGAGACGGGAAACUAUGGUAAAAUGUACGGAUAGUCCCUAUGCUAUUCCAAUAUAAUGGUUCAGUUCUUUUCUUUUCUUUUCUUUUUUUAAGGGACAAUUGCUUAUAUGCCUUAUCUUUAUUAAAUUUUAGCCUCUUUUAGAUAUACCCUUACCCCCCGUUUGGUUCGGGGUUAAGAAAAAGUAGCUAUUCCAGGGAUAGGGUUAAGUUCAGGGUUAAAAUGGUGUUAAAAUAUUUUUGUGUUUGGUUGGAGGUUGGAGUUAGUAUAGGAUAGUGAAAAAAAGUGUUUGGUUGGAAUUGGUGGGAUAAGAAGAUAAUGAUUGAUAAAGAAGAAAAAGGUGAGAGCUCGGGAUGCGUGUGGGGUUAAAGUUGGGAGGGGGAGUGGGGUUAAUGAUUGAUGAAGAAGAAAAAGGUGAGGGCUCGGAAUGCGUGCGGGGUUAAAGUUGGGAGGGGGAGUGGGGUUAGUAAACCCCACUAACCCGGUUUGGGGUGGGGUUUACUAACCCCACCCCAAAAGAGUGGUGUUUGGGUAUAAAUUGGGGGUUAAGGGGUUAUUCCACCCCUUAACCCCCAACCAAACGGUGGCUUAGAGUUAGAUAUGCAUGCAAAUUUGGAUGGUAAGAAAAAAAUGAAAAAUAAUUUUGUAUUUCUAUUUCAUUUAUUUGGAUAGUUUAAAAUUUUGGCAUAUAAACACCUUCUACAAAAGAAGAGUGAGAUUACCAAUCUUUUAAAAUUUAAUAUAAUACUUAUAAGCUAUUAAUAAUAUAAAUAAUAAGUAAAUAAAAAUAAUUUAAAGUAUUUCUUAGUUUAGGUAAAAUAGUUUCAUAAAGGAGAUGAAAAUAAUUAUACCACAUGCCCGUGUGCGUGUGUGUGUGUAUAUAUAUAUAGAUAUGGCUUGGGGAGAUAGAGAUAACGGUGGAAUAUAGUUAAGAUGACGGUUGGGUGCUAAAUGUAUACCAAUGUAUUAGAAAAGAGAAAUUUUCAUUUUUACUCUUUAAAAUGUCAAUGAGAAAAAAAAAAUUCGUUUUCUAAAAAAAAAUUGAAAAACGAAAUGCAAAGUUUUCCGUAAAAUAUGAAAAAUAAUUUUUCCUAUGAAUCAAACACACAGUAAAGAUGCUGUAGGAGGAGAAAAAUGAUGGGACUUGGAUGAUUAUAUUGUGGUAAUACAAUAAAUUUUCAUCACUUUAAGGGUCUAGGCCGAGUAGCAUGACCGGAGAGGAGGAACGACAAGACAACAAUAUAGUCAAAAGUAGGAUGGCUUUCUGGCAGGCAUUGUUACCCAGCAGCAAACUAAUUGUGCGAGUAGUUUUAUUCAUUGACUCACACAGCAUGUGGCUGUCGUUGUCUACGAGAGGCCUUAAGUGGGUGCCUGUAAAUAGGGCCAAUUCAUUUUCUGACUUAUUAUCAUUACAGUAGUGUUUCUAUACUUGUUAUUUUUCUAUACCAUUUAUUCAUUUCUAUUCAACGGCUUAGAUUUUUUUAAAAAAAAUUGUGACCUACAAUAACAAUUAUUUUGAGAGAUGUACCGGUUACCAACUUACCAUGUACCUAAAAAAGAAUAUUUUAAUCUUUUAAUAUGUAGAUAAUUUAAGAGUCCGGCUACUAUACUCUUAUGAGUACGAUCGCCCUUGUACUCAUAAGUUGUUUUCGAUGAUAGAGCUUCUGAAUCGACGAUCCAUACCGUUAAACAUUAUCUAGAGCAUUUAAAACUUCUAAAAAUCAAAUUUUAUAAUUUUUCGACAUUAUUUACCUUACGAUCAAAAGCUCACAAAAUUGACAAUUUUUAACGGCCGGUAUGAGAUACUUGCUAAUUUAGUGGUGUAAAAGAAUUGGAAUAGCUUGAAUUUUUGAUAGAAAAUUCUAUUCACUACCUAGAAAAAAGUCAAUAACUCCGAUCUUAAAUUGAAGGAUCCAAUCAUCUAUUUAUAGAACGCGUUCGAUUUUGACCGUUCAUUUUAUGCCCGUUUGAUGGACUUUAUUAUGAUUUUGAAAAAUUACUAAAUUUAUUUUUUAGAAGUUUCAAAUACUCUAGAUCAUAUUUAACGGAGUGGAUCGUCGAUUCGAAAGCUCUAUCAUCAAAAACAACUUAUGAGUACGAAGGGCCCAAUACUCAUAAGAGUAUAGUAGCUCUACUCGAUAAUUUAAUAAUUUUACCCCCACUAUAUUAUCAAAUUCUCUUCUCUUUUUGUUUUCUUUUUCUCUUUCUAUCUUUCCUCUUUUUCUACAAUAGAUAUGUAAAGGGGUCGGAUAAAGGGGUCGGAUUCGGGACAGAUUUUCAAAAACCUGAACCCGAAUCCGACUAUCAAAGCCGAAACCCAAACCCAAACCCAAAUCUCACGAAUUUUAGAAAAUCAUAUCUACAUACGUACCUGACUUAAAAUCCGAAACUCAAACCCUAGCCUGAAUCCGAAAUUCGAAUCCGAAACAUUAUUCCUCUUUACAAUAUUUCAAAAUAAUAUUAAAUUAAAUAUAAAAUUUUAAAGUACGUAUUCAAAUAUAACAUCAAAUAUUUAUAUAUAUUAUAUAUAAAGUAAAAUAAAUUCGGGUUCUAAUCGGUUUUGGGUUCGGAUAGGAUACAAUCAAAGUCCAUGCCCGAAUUCAAAUCAAUCGGGUUUUCAUUUUGAUAUCCAUAUCUGAAACUAUAUCCAUUUAGCAUAGGUAAAUCCACUGUGUUCGUUUUUAGAUUUGGGUUCAGAUUCGGAUAAAAUAGUAAUACAAAAGUCCUCUUAUUUAAAUUUAAAAUUUAAAAUUUAAAUAUCUAAUAUUUAAAUUUAACAUAUUUAGAAAUAUUAGUAUUUCUAAAAUUUAUAAAAUUAAAUUAAUGCUUAAAUUAGAAGAAUUUUAAAAUUUCUAAAAUUAAUGUCUAAAUUAGUGCAAAAUUAAUGCCUAAAUUUUGGGAUAUCAAUCAAACCUUAAAUUAAUGCUUAAACUAGUGCAAAAUUAAUGCUAAAUUUGGGAUAUCAAUCAAAACUUUCUUAAAUUUUUGCCUAGUUUAAUUACAAAAAUACCUUCAUAUGAAAUAACCUUCUAAUCUGCUACAUAAUAAAAUGGCAUUUUUAGCCUUCAUUAAUCAAUAGUUGAAAUUUUUUAUUUUUUAUAAAAUAAAGUACCAAAUCAUUUCUCUUAUCAUUAUUGCUCCAAACCAAAAUAUAUGCUCAACCAAUUUAUUUUUUUGUUAUAAUUAUUAUUAGUGCCCCAGAACAAAGGAUAAACGUAAAGGAUAAAUAAAAUGAAAGGCUUUUAGUCUUAAGUAUAUACAAGUAAUGUAAAAUAAAUCAAUCAAGAGAAAAAAAUAGCCAUUAAAUGUAGAAUAAAAAAAAAAUUGGCAGCCAUCACUACCUCAAAUAUACAAAAAAUAUUAGUAGUAAGUAAGGAGGGAAGAAUAAGUACGAUUAAAGUAUACAGGUAGAAAAUAGCCACGAGACUAAGGAAACAAUCAAAAAUAAAGAGAAAAACAGAUGCAACAAGAGAAAUAUAAAAAAAAUGAAACAAUAAUAAGAACUAAGAAGCAACCAUCCAUACAAAUAUAUAACUUGAUAGUUCCUAAGAUAUACGUGGCAAUAUUUCACACUUCCACGUCUCUCUGCACCUUUCUUGCUCUAUUUCAUCUCUCUUCUCCCUAGGUCCCUGUGCCCCUUCUCUAUAUCUCUCUCUUCUCCCUAGGUCCCUUUAUCUCUAUCUCUCUCUUCUCCUUAGCUCCCUUUGCCCCUUUUGCCUAUCUCUUUCUCUUUCCUCUCUAUGUUGUCUCUCUCUCUUCCCUAUACGCCUCUUCCGACACCUCUCUCUACGCCCUCUCCCUACCUCUCUCUCUCCUUCGCCUAUGCCCUUUCUCUCUCAAACCUCUGAUGCAUCCCUGAUGAGUGCCAUAUUCUUCUACUUCGAGGCCUCUCUGGAUCGCUCCGUUGCUCGAUUCGACCGCAGAUGGGAUGAGCCCGUCCAUUGGGCGGUUCCAAUCUCAUCUGCUUCUCUCCUCUACUCCGAUGCUUUUCUGGAUCGCUCCGCCUGUUGAUUCAGUUGCAGGUGGGAUGAGCUUGCCCAUUGGACUAUUGCUCCUAGGCCUAAACUUAGCCUAUUUCUCUUAUUUUAGUUGGUUGUUUAAAGAUCUGGUGAGAGUUUCAAAAAAAUUUUACUCAUUGUUUUCAAAUUAUUUUUUCUAUGUUGAUAUAUGGAUGGAUUGCUGGCACAGAUCAUAAACUUAGCCUAUUCCGUAUUUUGGAUGGUUGAUCCUUAAACCUAACCUAUUUCUAUGGUUUUGGUAGGUUAUUUACAGAACUGGUGAUAAUUUAAAAAGAUUUUUUUACUGCUUUCUUUUCCAAUUCUUUUUACUAUGUUACUCUUAUUUUAUAUAUCCAUUGGACGGUUGCUCCUAGGCUAAACCUAGCCUAUUUCUAUAGUUUUGAUAGAUUGUUUACAGAUUUUUACUCAUUCCUCGAAUUUUAUGUGGAUAUACUAUAGAUGGAUUACUAACACAGAUCCUAAACCUAACUAUUUCUAGGGUUCUGAGAUUAUCUUUACAGAUUUCUUUAGAAUUUCAAAAGAUCUUCUAAUCUAAAUUAUUUUCGAAUCUUCACAAAUUUCCGAUAAUCCCUAUAGCCCCUAUCCUUAUUCUUAGCCUUGUCGCCUUUCCUUCUUUGCUUUUGUGAUAGGCAAAAACUUGCCUCAGAUUUAUUAUAAAUAGCUGGCUUUAUUGUUUAGUGCAUGGUACAUUGUUCUCCUCAAACCAAGAAGGGUAUAUGCUUGAUUUGAAAUUUGUUCAUUAUUAAUUAUUACUAUUAACUGUGACCGAGUCAUCCUAAUAAUGAUUGUGCUGUUUUGUAGGUCCCUACAUUACCCUCCACUUUACUGCGUUCUCACAAAAGGUUGAUCUUCUUUAGUUCCUUCUGGUGCCCUUUUUAUUUCCCUACUGAUUAAAGUUGGCUAAAUAUUCACAAAUUAAAGUACUAAAGUAUAAAGUAUAAAGUAUAUUGCCACUAUUUCUUAGGUACCUAGAAGAUUCCAUUCUAGGCCAAUGUAGUUUCCUCCAAGCUACUUGCAGCCAGAUUUUUUCAUUCUAGACCACUAGGCUUCACUUUACUGAACUUUUUUAUUGAUUUCUAUUGAUUUUUAUUGAUUCUCAGCGUUUGGUUUUUGCUAAACUCUACUAAUUGAAGCCACAUUUAUUGAUUUUUAUGAUUCUUGGUGUUUGUUUUCUGCUAAACUCUACUAAUUGUAGAUUUCUUACUCUAACUGUGGUUACUUUGUUCUUUUUUUCUGUGUUCCUUAGAAUGCAUUUUUUUUUCCUCUAUAUGUGUUCUUUCCUCCUGUAUUUUGAUUUUCGCUUUACUGUUUUCUCCAACAUGCCCUGCUCGUUGUUUUAUUUUCCGCCAGCCUUCUAGGCAAUGAUGAUAGGCAAGCAGAAACAAAUAUAGGUUUCCUCUAUGUGUGUUCUUUUCUCUUGUACCAUGAUUUUCGCUUUAUUGCCUUCUCCAACUUGCCCAGCCCGUUGUUUUAUUUUCGCUAGCCUUCUAGGCAAUAAUGAUAGGCAAGCAGGAACAAAUAGACGUUACAAAAUAUUGAAUAACAAGAUUGGACGGCCUUGACAUAGGCAACCACUUACUAUUUUUAAUUGAUUGGCAACAGAUAGAGGUUGCAAAAUAUUGAAUAACAAUUUUGGACGGCUUUACCAUAGGCAACCACUUACUAUUUUUUAAAUUGAUUGGCUUCGAGGCUCUUCUUUACCUGAAGGAUCAAUCCUGUUGCAUGCCUCUUUUCAAGGCAUAACGCAAUGAUGACAGACAAGCAUAAACAAAUAAAAGGUGCAAAAUUUUUUAUAAAAGUUUGGCCGGGGUUAUCAUUGGCAACCACUUGCUAUUAUUAAAUCCUGUUGUAUGCCUCUUUCCAUGGUAUAAAUUACUUGUCUAUGUUAUCUGAGUCUUGAAGGUUACUUGCGGGUGUGGUGUUGUUGCUUUGAAAAUUAUGCUGCUAAAUUUUCUUGCUUUCUUUCUAUAGCGUUUUCUUUCUCUUAGUUUUCAGCAGUACUUUUUAUAUUAUUUUUUGGUUUCUUUUGCUACCCAUGUUUUCGUUUCAAUUAUUACUUUCUCCUAGUUGAAUCUUUUAAUUCCUUAUUUUCUUAACAGUUUAAUGUUUCGGUUUCAAUUGUUCUCACUACUAAACUGAAUUUUUUUUUUUUACUUCAUUAAUUUUUGCGUUGCCUAUUAUCGAUAUUGAAAAUUUUUCUUUUUUCCAACUAUUCUUCGCUCUUCUAAUUCUUCACUGUUUACUCUUGCAGAUGCUAUUUUAUUCUCUCAAGAUUUGCAUUGUUAUCUUUUUUUUAAGUAUUGCCGGUUUUGCUUCCACGUUUUUUUUUUUUUUUUUUUUUUUGCAAUGAUGACAGGCAAGAAAGCCUUAAAUAGAAGUUGUCAGGAAACAUAUACUAUGGAGGGCCUUCUCGAAGGCAACUGCUUGCUACUGUUUACUAAAUCAACAGCGGAUGUACACAAAUGUACAUCAAUCUCUAACUUUAUGGGCCGUACUUCCUUAUUUUCAGCAAAAGAAGAAAAAGCCUUCUUUGUUAACAAUAUUUUGUUUGAUUAUUUAUAUACAGUUGCAUCAUUUACCUCCAUGUUUAAUAUUUAAUAUUUAUAUUGGCCAACCUGUCUUAAUCUUUUUCUUAUUUAAUAAUCUUUACAAAAUAUUUUAUCAUUUUGUUCUCUACACUUUUAAUGACUUCUCCUUUACCUCCCCUUCCCCCCUCUAUUUUUUUCUUCUUUUCUUUUGUAGCUUUUUCUAUGUUGACAGUCCAACUAUCUUACAUUAGAUUAUUGCGUGAGAUUUGUGAACAACUGCAAAUGGAAACUUCGUAGUGUGUUGUGACUCCAGCUGCAGAGAGGACUUACGACGUAUAUAUAGAUCUUCUGAUUCCACGGAAUGAAUCUAUAGUUGAAAUGGUACGAUAUUGGGGGUCGCGAUCCUCCACAUCUGUUGCGGCUGAACACAAUGCUGCUCGGAUUGCUAUUAAGAGGAUUGUUAAAGAAUUUGAUUUGCAUGUUAAAGAUAUAAAUUACGAUGAUAGUAUCUUUUAUCUAUAACUCUAUAUGAUUUUUCAAUACAAUAGCUGAUGUGGCAAGUCCUCAUUUUUUUGAAUUUUUCUAAUUUUUUUUCCUUUUUUUAUAUAAGUGGACCUAUCUCUCUUCCCUCCUUCCACUAUACAUUCCUUCAUCUCUCCCUAUCUCAUCGUAUGUUCUCUUCAUCUCCCCUUUAACCCACCGUAUGUCCCUUCAUCUUCAACCCGCUCUUUCAAGAAAACCUCUGUCCCUCUAUCUCCCUCUUUCUCUCCUACCAACCCACAUCCGCUCUCUCUUCUUCCUUUUUUUUUUGUAGGUUUCAAAUUAUUAUUAAUAAUAAUUUUUAAAUACUAAUUUUUAUAAUUUUGAUUUGAUUUAAUAUAGAAGAAAAGUAGGUGACAAUGAAUUUAAGAGUUACAAAUCGAAUUCGCUUCAAGUGAGAUUUUAUAUUUUUAUAAAUUAAAAACUAUUUUUUUCCCUUCUCAAAAAAUUUUUCUCUCUCCUAAUUUUAUUUUAUUUUAAUUGCUAAUUUUUCUUUUGAAAUUUGGUUUUGAUGUAGAAAAGAAGAAACCGAAACAUAUUAUAAUUCAUCGAGUAAUAAAAUCAACCAUAACGAAAUCACCUCUGGUUUUUAUUUUUUCGUUCUCUUUUAUUCUUGCAUUAAAUUAUGUUUUUUUUAAUUCCCAUCUAUGCAAUAAUUUUUAUUCUUUUAUAGUUUUUGUUUUGUUUUCUUUCUUUGUUCUCCAUUAGAUUAUUUUUUCAUUCUAAGAAAAAUUCAAUAUAUUUUUUAUAUUAUUAACCAAUCAAAUAUUAAUUAUUUUUUGCUAUAUUUUAAUUUUUUAUUUGUAUAUUUAAUUUAUGAUUUACUAUAAUUUUUAUCCGCCGCAUCGCGCUGGUUCCUACACUAGUAAAAAUCUAUACGAUCAUCUAGCCACAAAGUAUGCUAUGAAGGAGUAUAACUUUCUGAAAGAUUGCUAUGUCACUACUCUUGUAAUAACUGAGAUUUUUGAUUUAUUGAUUAAACCCUUUUGUUUGAUGAUGUUCUUGUGAUGAUGUUCUUGUGUAAUAUAAUUAUAAGUGUACUCGUCAAAUUUCAGGAGAAAACGAGUUAAAACAGAGAAGUUACGCGACCCGGAAGUCUGACUUAAGUGAAUAGUAACUCCGGUUUUCCGGAGAGGCCGCGGAGUANNNNNNNNNNNNNNNNNNNNNNNNNNNNNNNNNNNNNNNNNNNNNNNNNNNNNNNNNNNNNNNNNNNNNNNNNNNNNNNNNNNNNNNNNNNNNNNNNNNNAUCAUCGUGCUCACUUCCCGAGGUCAAAAAGACCAUUCGGAUUGCCGAAAAAGUUACCGGAAAGUGGGAAAACAGUGCUGGAAAGCAUAAAUGGAACACUCACAGUGAGAGGGGAGCUAGGGUUGGCCGCCGGCGGUAUUCCGGCAGGCGGUCCGGCCGGGGAGGGGUGCACCAGGUGGCGGGGCUCCGGGACACUCCACGUCAGGCGGCGCAGGGCAGCCGGAGGUGCGGCGGCGGCGUACGGAGCCAACAACUCCUUUGCGGUUUGGUGCGUUCCAACAAUUGCCGGCGGCGACGCGGCGGCCGGGGCAGGUCGGGGCCGGUCGGGGAUGAUGCCAGGGGUCGAGGCGGUGGCCGAGCUUGCGUCGGCGGGUGGCGGCGAUGCCCGGGAGUGAAGGCGGCCCGCGUUCGGCCCCUACAGCACACAGGCGGCGGCAGGGGGCUCCUGCGGCGGCCGGCGGCCCUCGAGGGUGGCCGGGGUCGGGCGCGGUGGUCGCCGGACGGUCGGCGGAGACCUCCGCGGCCGUCGGGAAACGGCGGCAGGGCUCACACACCCGAGCCACCCAGCUUCGGCCUGGGUGGUGUCCCUGGGGCCGCAGGCGGCUACGGCGGCUCCGGCGGCGCACGGCGACGGUGGGGGUCGGCGGUGACGGUGCCGGCGGGGGUGCCUGGGUCGGGGCUCACCUCACCCGAGGCCUGGCCGGCUCAGGAUGGUGCUUGGAACUUCCUCGGCCAAGGUGGAGGGAGAGGGAGGAAGGUUGGAGCUUGGGGAAGCCUUUUCCGGCGACGGCGGCGGCUGCCGGCCGCCGGGGUGCAAGCACGGCGUGGGCAGGGGGCCUCCUAGGCGGCUGGUGCACAGGGAGGGCUAGGGUUAGGGUUUCCACGAAGCCCUAGGUUCCAACACACAUAUAUAUAUGUGGCAAUAUGCAAUUUAGCCCCUCUAAUAAGAAUAUUUCUAUCCCAGCCCUUCACAACGCGUGAAAUAUGCGCGAAUACACCUUCACAAACAAAUUCACGCGAAACGGCACAUAAAAUAUCGCACUUUUUGCGAAAUUACCCUUUUUCCAACACCGACCUCUCCUCGAUCAACGUGCGAUCUCCGCAGAUCCGUCCGUCAGAUUUGCGAACGGAUUGCACCAGUGCGAUCAGCACCUCGGAGACAACAAAGCUACGAUUUUGUUUCACCACGAUCGACCACGGAUUCACGACAAAAUCCAAACUUUCUUUCCAAUAGAAGGAAUAACACAUAAAUACAUAUAAAACAUGUAUUUUUGGAUUUUCUCGAAAUUCGUGCAUCAAACUCAAAAUCCGUCAGCGCCAGUAGUUCCAGAAUAGCUGAACCGGUCGAAACGAGCUAUUGGAUCGCUAUGAACGGAGUCCGAUACGCGGAGAAAGCCAACUCUACUCCGUGGCUUCACCGAAAAACCGGAGUUACUAUUCACUUAAGUGAAAACUAAUAAUCGCGUAACUUCUCCGUUUUAGCUCAUUUUCUCCUGAAACUUGACGAGUGCUUAUGUAAUUAAAUUACACACAUAAACAUCAUCAACAGAGAGUUUAGUUGCACUGUAAAAAUCUCAGUCCUUAUAAUUUGCUAAGCCGUUCUUUGUUCUCAAUAGAUUACAAGGUCGGAUGUUGUUUGUAAAAUUUCUAAUUUUUUUUUUUUUUAUAAUUGUGAGGACAGUCCUCUUUGUUUAUCAGGCAGUUAUUCCUCCUCUGUUAAUUGGGUUUGAAAGUUUUGGUGAUUGUGCCAAAGAAAAUCCAUUUUAAGCUAAUCUAACACCCCUUUAUAUUCUUUUAAUUUAGUAAGACCGAUAUUUGUGCCUCUACUGAAUAAGUGGGCUCAAUAUAAAUAAGUGUAUUAGUAUGGAUUUUCUGUCUGAUAGAUCUUUAUACCUAAUAUAUACAAUGCCAAGGAGUUUCUUAGUGAUGAGGCAAGAAAGAAAUGCAGAUAGCAAUUGAACCAUUGCUAUUUAUACACAACAAGGAAUUCAUAUAUGGCAUUUUAAGUGCUUGCUUUUUUGUGUGCAUGAAAUAUUGUUUGCUAAUAAACAUGAAACCAUUCAAAAUUUUCAUGUCUUUAAUCCAAGUGCAGGACUAGGGGCUGGGUUUCUUGGCUUUCAAUUUGGCCUUGGUAUUGGUGCUGGCUGUGGUAUUGGUUUGGCUUUUAGUUAUGGUCUGGGAAAAGAAAUUGCCUAUAAUGAUAUGAAGUAUUCAAAUGUCGGCACACUGUUUCAGGAUGCGGCAAAUCUGCCAUCUUAGUAAUCAAUUUUACACUUUUCAUCUGAGAGUAUUUGAAUUUGGUUUGAGUUGAGUUGUGAUCAUAACUUGAUAUGUUUUUUUUUUUUGUCUUUAUUUUUUUUGUGCACAUAUGUGCUUUCAUUUUCAGUCAAAUUUUAUUUAGUGCCAUUUUUCAUAAGGAGUUUGCCGUGACUUGGAUAAUUAUUGAUUGAUAUACUCAUCCAGGAUUCUAACCAUUCGCUGCAGUCUGUACUCUACUCCAACUUAUAAAUAUUUGAAUAAACUUGAAACAUCAUUGCCUUGCAUGAAAAAGUUGAAGUUCAAGAAAUUUUUCAUACACGUUGGAGUAAUUUUUUAACUGUUACUUACUAAUCACUAAUGUAUAUUUAUUGUAAAUCUGUCCAUCCGCCGCGAAGCGCGGGUCCUUAACUAGUAUAAUUAAAAGUAGAGACCUAGAAGAGAAGGCAAGUAGUAGAAGCUGACAUAUUUAAAGAGGCUUGUUUAGAAGCAAGGAGUAAAGAAGUUGAAAGCAGGAAACAUUAGUGACAGAUAGUGCAUUUUAUCAUCAAUGUAUGUCCAUAUAGUAAAAAAUUAUUGUAAAAUAUUAGAAAGCAAGGGAACAAAAAGAAGGGAAAAACAUAAAAAACAAAGAAAUUAAUACAAUAUAACUCUGUAGAGAACUGUACCUUUUAGAUUGUUUAUUAGAAAAAAGGUAGCAAUAAAGAUAGAGAAAACUUUAAAUGCCUAUGAAACAAUAAAGCAGUUACUAACUAAAACAAUUAGUAAUAUGAAGAGGUUGUACAAAAUUAGUAAAGGAAAGGACUAUUAAGAGAAAAAGGAGAAAUAUUACUUGUAUUCUUAUACCUUUAACUUAAAGAGCAAAGCUGUACUAUGGAAUGUGGUUUCCACUAUUUUAAUAGAUUAGGCUAUUAUAUAAUAAUUUGAAUAAAUAAAUAAAUAAAAAAGAAAGAGAGGAUAAGGAUGAUCCUAUAUUCAGUAAUCUCCUCCACAUACAUUAGAAAAAUCUUGUAAAAUUAUUAAAAAAAAUUUAAAAAACUUUGGCACACUUUUUUUCAAAAUUAUUUUUUCGAGAAUAGGCCUCACACACCAUUUUCUAAAAAAAUAAAAAAUAAGGGUAAGCUAAUAUUAGGGCGAUUAUGUAAGAAAAUCUUUCCCAAAUCUUGAGAAAUCAUCUAGAUCUCUAACAAAGCUUUUUUUUAAAAUUAUUUUUAGAGAAGAGAGAGUCACCAGAGGCAAGAUCUCCAAAUAUCCAAACAACAACCCAAAUACACUUUUUUUAAAAAAUAAACUAAAAAUAGGGCUAGGUUAAUAGCACCAGGCGAGAACAAAGAAAGAAAGGAAGAGAGAAAGAAAGAAGGAACGGAUAGGGUAAGAAGGUUCAAGGCACUUCGGAUCGUAAGCUAUCUUACCUCUUCAGGUAGGCCUAGGGCAAAUUGCAGAGAGAAAGAUAAGCUAGGGCAACCUCGGAUGGAACCUAUCUGACCUCCAUAAAUGGCAUAGGCUAGAUCAAUCGUCGGCAGCAAGGAGCCCUUAUGAUUGCUACUAAUCUCAUCACAACUAUCAAUCAGGAAAGAGCCUGGCCGUGCUGAGAAUAGUGUGUACAAAAGGAGAGAGAGAUAGAGAGAGGGGGGGAGAGAAAGAGAGGCAUCAGUGGGAGAGAGAGAAAUAGAGAGAAAAAAAAGAGAGAGGAAGGGAGAGGAUAAGGAGAGGAAGAAAGAAAGAGAGGGAGAGAAGUAUCGGGAGAUAGAGUGGGAAGCUCAAGAGAGAGGUAUCGGGAAAGAGAAAGAGAGAGAAAUGAAGGGGUACCGGGAGAGGGGAUAUAGAGAGAAAAAGGAGGGUAUCGGGAGAAGGGACAGAGAGAAAGAAAGAUAAAGCGAGACACAUGGAUCGAAGGUGUCACGCCCCGGAUUACCGCGUUUUCCCGAACACGCCAACAGACCCACCGUAUACAAAGAAAUUUUUUCUGUAUACGAAGCGAUAGCUGUACCUGUAAACGAAAACAAGCUACAACCACAAGGUAAGAGCUGCUAAACCGAGAAUAGAAUAUAUAAAUACACAUCAGGUUCACUAUACUUACAAAGUCUCCAAGAUACAAACAUCCCUCGCUCCAGCGAGUAAAACAGCAUAAGUAUGUACAUGAACCAAAAUACCCCAAAACUACCUGUAGAUGGUACUCUUCUAUUACUGCAACCAGGGAAGUGAUCUAGCUCGUGACUCCCUUUCCACGGUCAGAAUCGAUGACAGCAGCAGCCGCAGAAGAAGGCUCUGUAAAAAGGGGUCAACAACUGGGUGUGAGAACUACUGUAAAAAGGAGUAGUCCUCAGUGGGUACUGCUGUCGACCUCAACGGCUUACCCACUAAGUCUACAGAAAGUAUGCACAAGAAUAAUAAGGAAGCCGAAAAAACUUCACAGCUACAUGCCACUAUACUAUCGCUAACCACUAUUUUGUAGAUAUAGAAAUGCACACUCUGACUUAAUCUCACUAGGGACUGUGAACGCACCCGUCCCGCCUGUCGAAGCUAUACCAACCAUCACCACGCUGGGUUGUCGGUGGAGAGCAAGUCCAACCCGGACACUACGACAUCAACGCAAACGCACAAAGCCCGACUCCGGAGUGGCACUCGUGGGCGUUACCCAACCGAGUAUGCAAGCGUAUCUCUGUCGAGCUCAAUCAGUCUCUCACAGGCUAUAAUCAAAGCAAAUGGGUCUAACUGGUCUAACAACAAAAGCUCACGUGCCCUUGGCACAAUUUGAUGCAAAUACAGAAAUCUGGGUCCACCAUCAACCGCGAUGACACCCGACAGUCCGAAACAGUCUACACGCUAUUGUAAAAAUAACCUCGGCAUCCCAGCACGAGCGUAACCUCAUCCUACAUUAAUCUGGGUAUCCAUCGCAUACUAACAGCGACGAUACAAAAGAACCACAGCUCCUAAAUCUAAAUCUGGUAAUUUUCAGAAAUGAUAGUAUAGGAUCUAUAUGUUUUCUCCUAAGUCAAUUCCAAGUCCAAUAUGUAAAAUUAUACUACUAGCUUAACUCCAAAUUCAGAUUUUAUCUUUAAUCCAUGAAUUCGAGUACUAGCAAGGAAAUGAAACCAACAAAACAUGUCGACGAUAUAAAAACUUAGGAGGUAUUCCGACGAUUUCGGUAAACUUCAACCCACCUCGACACGCUAGUCCAACCACGGCGAGAAGUCGAAAGGAGAGGAAACCACGCGCUCGCCCGGCCUCCAACGGCGCAACCGCAACGCCCACGCGCUCGAACGGUCCUCCGGAUCAACGUCGACAACCUCCCGGGCUCGAGCUGCGACCUCUACCACGAGCACGUCCAAAAACUAGAGAGAGAGAGUAGCAAACAAAACCUCAUUUCAAAGCUCUCUACAAAUAUAUAGAGGUUGAGGAUAAGGUGGGUUAUCGACACUUCAAUAGACCAAAUUACCCCUCACCAACUCAAAAAUCCAGCUGGAGUACCGGUACCCAAUUUGGUUACCGGUACUCGGCCUCUCAGCCCGCAAGCUCGCACACAGUGUAUCGGUACCAGCCCGAUGCAGUACCGGUACUCGACAUCAAAUUGGCGCAACCCGAGAGCAUUAGUUCUGAAAUUUCACUAGGGUACCGAUACUCCUCUGCCUGGUACCGGUACUCAACACUGAAAACCUGCACUUUACAGAUUAAAAUGUCAAAACUCUGCUCUCGCGUCGCACUGAGUCCGUUUUGCGUCCAUUUCGCGCCAAAACGACUCCGACUUGUCUCGACACUCUCCAGAUGUGUCGACAAGCCUCAGAUGCUGAGACCCACGGGUUGCAGAACACCAGGGGCACUACAUAAGGGACUGUCAAUUUAUGUAUUGUUAAGAUGAUCCUCUCAAAAGCUCACAUCUAAUAGCCUAUAUUUACCUAGCCAUCAUUUGUUGUUUUCUAGGAGUCAAUCAUGAAUUGAGGUGUUUGCAUGUACGGAUUUCAUUCAUCUCUUAUUCAAUUUAUAAAAUUAUGAUAAGAAUGACAUUGAGAAUAGAAGAUUGAAUUGCUUUUAGAUAUAUUGGGCUUUCCAAAUAAGUGCUUUUGGCAAUAAUACAAUUCUAAACUAACUCAUCAGUUCAGAUUGUUAUGAGGAUAUUUUGAACCCCGACCCUAUUUACAUGUCGAAAUAAAAUGUUAAAUAAUAACAUAUUUAAUAUGAAUUUUUUUUGUGCUAGGAAGUUAGAAGUUUGAUUUUUGUUCAUUAAAAGGUUUUGACAUUUAUAGUUUAGUAGGAUAGUAUAUUUCACUUAUGAAAUGAUUUGUCUUAUUUCGAAAAAAUAACUUGAAAACCAAAUAUAUUAUCUGUUCUAUAUGUUUGAUUCCACUUCUCAUCUACUAAAUAUUGCAUACUUCUUAAGUAACUUAAAAAAAUAUAUGUCAAAAAAUAUAUUCAUACAUUCAAAUAAAAGCUUAGAUUUUAUACUUCUUUAGCUUCUUAGCAAUCAACUCUAUAUUAGUAGGAAAGAAGGGUAGCCGAUAAGAGAGCGAAAGUAGAAACUAUGCGAAAAAAGAUCAAGAGGAUAGUUGGAAGGUGGUUAGGUUACUAACAAUUCUAAGGUGUAAUUGUACGGAAAUCCCCUUUAUUAUAAUCAAUUGUAAAAUAAGUCUCUCAACUUCUAUUCCUUUAACUUUUAAUUUUUUUUUCAUUUGAAUUUUUAUACUUAAUUAAGCUAAAAAGUUAUCAAAUUUAAUAAUUCAACUAGUUAUUUAUCAUUAAUUGACUUAGAUUUAUUUGUUAAAAAAGUAACUAAAAGUUAUUAUAUUUGAUAAAAUUACUAAUAAAUUUGAUAAAAUAUUUAUUUUUUUGAUUGAAAUAAGUUAGUUUAAAAAAGAAUUAGGCUUAGUUUAGUAGCGAGGUCCAUCUGACACUAUUAGAUAAAAUGGAGUUAGGGUAAAAGAAUAUAAGGAUAUGCUUCUGUAUUUUUCGGUGGGACCGCAGAAAAUAUAUCGUAACCGACUCAUCGCGAUAUGCGGAAUGUAAUAUUAUGUAGAAAAACAAACAGGAUAUUUUUUCGUCGUACUUCCUCAUCGCACGUAACGCAAUAUCCCUACAAUUCCAAAUGAAGCCUUAGAAGUUGAGAAAAUAAAAAUGUUGAGGGGCUAGCUUAGACUAUACUAUAGCCGAGAGAGUGUGCUUACCUUUUUACCUAAAAUGAAUUAAAAUAAAAUAAGUAACGCUUAUUCACACAUAGAAAAGUGAAUGUAUAUCUUACAUCGUCCAUCUAAUAGAUUAAAAUUCUUCACUAGUCACUUGAUGGGACUAGCAAAAACACUUCACCCAUUAAAUAGAAAGCGUGCAAGAUAUGGACUCUGAUUGGAAUGUGCGAGUAAUAUUUACCAAAUAAAAUUGUAGAAUCCUCAAGUUUGGCAUUUUUUGCGAAUAUACAUGUAACUUUUAAUUUUGGUAAUUAAAUCUCUUAAAUUUCAUAAAAUAGUUUAAUAGUCAGCUCUUAUUAAUCCAAGUCACUCACUACACAGUACUUUGGGUUGCUUGUAUUGUUUAUAAUCUUGAAAGUUUUGAAAAUUAAUAAAAAUAUUUAUUUUUUCUGUUCUUAUACACAAAAAAUAUAAUUACUAAACAUCAAUUCACCCUGCUUUUCAAUUUCAUGCUGAAUUAUGAGAAUUAAAAGAGUCAAAAUAGGUCUUUUGUGUUUUAAUGUUACACAAAAUUAUAUACGAGAUAUGCAAUCAAACUAACGAUUCAAUUAGGCUUAGUUUGGUAAUGUAUUUUUAAAAGUACUUAAUUUUAUGCUUUAAGCCUAGUCUGACAAUGUGGUGGUGAAAAAUAUUUUUUUAUACUUUGAUAGUCUAAAAAAUUUAAAAAUACUUUUGAUCUUUUCUCUUUCUAUACUAUAAAAUUAUACAAUAUGUUUUUUGGUGGGGAUUAGCAUUAGAGGAAAAAAUAUUUGAAUCAUAUAGUUUUGAGAUUUUUUAAAAUAUAAAAUAAGAUCUUUUUAGUCACAGAGUGACCAAAUUAGAUCUAAGAAGGUCCAAAAGGUGAUAAGGCAAUUUUAAUCUUCCAUCCGUCAAUGUUAUAAAAUUAUAGUGACAACUACCACUACAGAGAACAUAUGAUAGAUCAUACUAAUUUUACUUGAGAGAGAGUCAAAACUGCUAAUAAGUAAAUUCCCUACCGUGAUGAAUAUAAGCGUAAUUGAAAUUUCUGGAGAGUUAGUAGUGUUUUUUCCAUUUUUCUUUUUGAUUUGUCAAUGAAUCUGCUUCAAUAUCCACGGGCUUAUCAGUUAAAUGGCAAUUAGCACAUACAAUUCGUCCAGUUGCUUCUUGUGGGUUUUCAAAACUCUGCUAUGCAAAAAUGGGCUAAGACCUCUCGAGGCAAAAUUGCCGAGUUGCUAUAUUUUUUCGGAGAAAAAUUUGGGGGACAUAGUCUCCAAAUAUAAUAUUUUAGGGGUUGUCCAGAUCAGCACCAUGUGGUAAACUGAGCUUAUCUCAACCGCCCAACAAAAAUAAAAUUUUUAAAUAUUUUAAUCUAGUAAAAAUAAUAUUUUUUUUAUACAGUUUGCCACACGGCGCAAGUUCAGCCAAUUCCCAAACUAUUAUAUUUGGAGAUUAUACUAGCAAUGUAUCUACACUUUGCUGUGGAUUCGAUGAAUAUCUUUUUAAUUAUAUUUAUAAAAUAUAGCAUAAAUUACUGUAUAUAUUGAACACAUAUUGUAUCGAUAUCUAUCAAUAAAUUUGUAUGAUAUAAAUAUAAAAAAUAAAAAUUUAAAAUAAAUUUUCAUUAAUUAAAUUUAUUUUAUAUUAUAUUAAAUGCCUGUAUAUUAAAAAUUAUAAAAUUUAGAUCUCUUACUUCGAAAAAGAAAGAAAAGAGCACAUUUCUCAUAGAAAGAAAGAAAGAGGAGAGAGAAAAUGUAGCAUUAAAUUAGGAAUUAAAGAUUUUAAUUAGAAAUUAUUUUUAAGAGGGGAUGUAACACGAUUUACUUAAGAAAUUAAUUAUUUUUGAAGAAAGAGCACAUAAAUGAUAAAUUCAAAUUUUAGAAGACAACAUGUCUCUUGUUUCAAAAGAGAGAGGAAAGAGAACAUUUCUUAGAGAAAGAGAAGUAAGAAAGAAAGGUAGCGUUAAAUUAGGAAUUAAAUGUACAUGCUCAAAUUUUAGAAGACAACAUGUCUCUUGUUUCAAAAGAGAGAGGAAAGAGAACAUUUCUUAGAGAAAGAGAGAUAAGAAAGAAAUGUAGCAUUAAAUUAGGAAUUAAAUGUACAUGUGUCAUAUGAGUGCAAUAUGCCAAUAUCCCAGGGACCUUCAAGGACUUCAGCACACUGCACCAGGUGCACCCAAGCUCCCUCCACGGAUUUGAUACAUGUCCACAAACAUCCACGGUCUACACUGCACCAGGUGCAGCAAAAAUAGCUUGAUGACGUGUGUAGAAUACCUCGUGAGCGUCCGCAGCUUCAGCACACUGCACCAGGUGCACCCAACCUCCCUCCGCAGAUUUGAUACAUGUUCACAAAUAUCGACGGUCUACACUGUACCAGGUGCAUCAGAUGCACCAAAAUAGGUUGACGACAUGUAUCAUGUUAGUAAAAUUACUAUAGAAAUUUUAGUAUAUAGUAAUAAAUAAUAGAUAAUAGAUAGUAGAUGUCCGCCAAAUUUUUGUCCAGUUUUGCCCACUAAAAUUUGGAUCAAACCUGACACUGUUCCAACCGAAGCUAUUUCAUCCUCACGUUUCUUACGCAAAACUCUCCCCUUCCUCCUCUUCUCCCCUCCCCCUCCAUCAUCAUCAUCAUCAUCAUCCUCAUCCUCAUCCAUGGAAUCUCUCUUCUCCCUCCCUUCUCCCUGCCUCUUCCCCACUCCCUCUCCUUCCGCGCCCAAAACCCUAAACCCCACCACCCUCUCUUCUCCCCUCUCCCUCCACCACCACCACCACCACCUCCGUCGCCACCGCAGUCCCACACGAACCGCCACCGCCAUCCUCCGCUCCCACGGCCUCUCCUCCGCCCCCUCCACCGCCCUCUCCGACGCCUCCGACCCCUUCGACAUCGGCGCCGGCCAGGGCGACGAUGCGAAGUUCGAUUGGUACGCCCAAUGGUACCCGGUGGCUCCCCUGUGCGACCUCGACAAGCGGGCGCCGCACGCGAAGACGGUGAUGGGGCUCGACGUGGUGGUGUGGUGGGACCGGGCCGAGGGGCGGUGGCAGGUGUUCGACGACCGCUGCCCCCACCGCCUCGCCCCGCUCUCCGAGGGCCGCAUCGACCCCCGCGGCCGCCUCCAGUGCGUCUACCACGGCUGGUGCUUCGACGGCAGCGGCAACUGCAAGUACAUUCCCCAGGCGCCGUCCAGCGGCCCCCAGGUGAGCUCCAUUUGGGGUUCUAAAACAUGAUUUUCUUGUGUUUUACUUUUGAAUUAGUGUAGUUUUCUAGAUGGUUCUUGUUUUAGAAUUGCAUCAUAUAAUUGGGAUCUCAAUUGAGUGCAAAUUGGGUACUAGUUGUGUGAUGUGAUGUCUCAUGGGAUGGGAAAUAAAUUAUGAUCGAUGAUAGUAGAACCAAAGUGUCACGGACAUAACUUUUUCCUUUGAAAAAUCCGUGCGGCGCCCGCCUUCCUGCUCGAAGAUGCGCAAGCCUGCUCAAAUCCUAAACACGGACAAGUCUUCCAAACUUAACAACGGAAUACCAAUCCAAGUAUUUGCCAAGCUUGCUCCUCCGCGAGACUGAUAGAUCAACCAAUCGCCUGCAAUCGAACCCCUCGUCGGACUCCUCGAGUUCCCAACGAGCAAUCCCAAUACUGAGGCUAGCCACCAAGUAAGGACAUAUUCUUCACCAUUGCGCCACAUGCGCCCGACAGCAUCCACGGCCAUACCGCAUACGCGGCCUACUCGCUCGGUUCAAAGACCCACAUCAGAGAAGCCACCCAAGUGUGCGCCACAAGCUCGUCUGUCUUCCAACGCCAGCGACCAGCGCGACACCCCGCACGCCCAUGCUCCGCACAUCCGUGCUUCGCAUGCAACCCGUACGGCACACGUGCCCUCAACGCUCCUGGCAAGGAAGCCAACAAGCCCACACCGUGCUUCACGACUGUCCCCACGACCUCGCAUUGCCAUGGCGCUCUGCGCCCUCGAUUCCCAUAGGUUCGCCACAUAAAGCCCCAUACAAACGAGUCGGCCUCACUCCGCACUGCAACCCAUCUGACUCCUCCAUGGCUCGACCACACCUCGCUGCGCGCACCAAUGGUCCAGUCACUCAAGGUUCACUAUACGGAUACCGAUACUGCUUGCCUCACUGGGUUUCGCCCCUCUCGAGUCUCCAAGACCUAUGCGCCCCACGAGACUCCUUCGGCAUGUCUCCAUUUGGCUAUCCAACAGAGAUCCAUCUCCUUAAGCCUUCGCAGGCACUGCGUCCCGCGAAUCCCCGCUCAGCACACUUGCCUUCGCGAGCCUUGCCCUCUACGGCGGGCCAUCCGUCGCAAGACUAACCCUCAUCCGCUCGUACGUGCCCCCACAGAGAUCCGAGACGGCAUAAGGUAGUGCAAGCGAUUCUAGGAGGAAAGCCUCCCGGCAGUUCCCGCUCCAUAAUGUCGUCGACCUCUGUCUCCGACAUUACCCUAGGCCCGUGACCCUUGAACCAUUCGUUGCUCAGUCGCACAGCACGCUAAGCUUGGCUACUCCGCUAGCCAAGGGACGACCCAUGUCCUAUGAGUCGCGGGGGAAUCGGGUCCACUCUACGCAGUGUCCACCCCUCCUCCUAUAUACCAUGUAAGGCAUCCACCCCUUUGGCACCCCGGGGGUACAAAGGUGCCCACCGAGGGGUACGUUUUGAAACCCCGUAUGCGGUACCAAAAUCCUUGCCAUGGCAUGAGCCAUUGCUAGGGAAUUGCCUCUGUAGACUUGACAGCGGCUCCAACCUGACGGAAUGCUUCAACUCUGCAACUCCAUAGCAUCAUCAACUCAAUGACUACCAAAUGUGGCCCCCAGGAACGUCACGGCCGAGCCCCAACGAUCGACCGGUGAUAAAAGGCUGCCUUUGUAAUAAUAUAACAUCGGAUGAAAUAGGAAUUAUGAUUGGCGAUAUUAGAACGAGGGGUUCUAUUAAUAAUAACCAGGCUUAAGCAUUCUGGGUCGUUGGUUUGAACCAAACUAAUGAGUUAUUAGGGUUAGAAGUUUGGUUGUUAAUUUGGUAUCCCCAGUAAUCCCACAUUAGUUUAAUAAGUGGGCUUAAGCUUACGUAUUCCGGGCCUAAUGAGUUAUUAAUGUUAGAGGCCGGGCUUUACAUGUUGUCCUUCCAUCAUGUUGGAGGCGAACUUAGAUGGAGGUGUAUUUUUUUUGUAUUUUUUUAGCAUAUGGAUUGUUCAAGGCAAUGUAUUUCUUGCUUGUAAUCUAGGUUAUGUAGUACAUAGUAGAACUUUAGUUAUUGGGUUAUACGAACAAAUUAUUUUAAUUUAGACAAGUUGGUUUUCUUGGAAGAAAAGAUGUAAGCCUGACGAAUAUGGCGGACGAUAAAGAUUGCGAAGGUGCCUUGGCUCAGUCCUAACUGGAUAACCCACCCUAAUUUUUGCAAUUGGAAAUUUGUAAAAUAAUUUAAUUACCUUGUGUGAGUAAAAUUCUUUGGGUCAUAGUAUCCCUGCAAAUAAGAUGCACGCAGCACCUCUCAAUGCAUACGUACCUUUUAUAUAUGUGACCAAAUUUUUGCAGAGAAGCAAACCGAGGAAUUAUUUAGUGUUCAUUAAAUGCUUGAUUUUUCGCUAACGCCGUGUGUGAUGAGCAAAAUUUUGCUGCUUUGGAAUUGUGAUAGUUGUCACAUGAGCAUGUUGGCAUCAUUAUGUGUUUUAUCAAUCUAUUCUUCAGGUGAUUGUGUUGAUGCUGAAUUGUUUUGGUUUAUGAUGUAUUAUCACAGGUUCAUUUGAACACUAAGGCUUGUGCGGCUGUUUAUCCUAGCGUUGAACAGAACAAAGUUUUGUGGUUCUGGCCUAGCACUGAUCCUCAAUACAAGGAUAUCUUAGAGAAGAAACGACCUCCGUACAUCGAAGAGUUGGAUGACCCAUCAUACACCUGUUCAAUGGGAAUAAGGGAACUUCAAUAUGGGUAUAAUUCUAUUCUCUGUUGUUGGCUUGUCGCUGUAUCGCUCUUAGCCAGCAUUGCUACGCAUAUGUGUGUAUGUAUACAUCUUUAUGUGCACAUGUAUUCUGGUUCCUAAUGCAAAUAUUUAUUUGAGUAACUUGUUUUUUCUCACACCAUUCUUUGUUCACGUGCUCCCAUUCUUGCACAUUCUUUUUGUCCACCAAUUUUGCACACAACUCGCAUCAUUAUUUUAUCAUUCCAAAUACUUCCACUGAAACUUUUAAGAAGGAUGGUUAAUCUAUUUUUGUCCAGCACCAUACGGGUGCAUAUUUACUACAAUUGUGCAUAAAUUUAUAGGUACAUCAACAGCUUCACUUUGAUUUCUAAACUUAUCUCAAUUGAUGGUGCAAACUCCAUUAAGUUCUUCCAUCGAAUCCUAUCAGUGGCUUAUCUAUGAGAGACGGUGGACUGUUGUAGGUGGUGCCAGCCGAAGGUUUGCAUGUUGUCCCACAUAAACAUUUCCACUGAAAAGUUCCAUGCACAAAUGAUGGAAGCUACUUUAGGGCCAAAUUUGGUGACUAGGAUGCAAAUUAAGCUAAUUAAAAUGAUUUGUGAUGACACAUUGGCUUUCAAUGGAUGGAAGUUGAUGUUAGGACUUGAUUGUAUUGUUUAAUAUAGUAUGAGCCAUCAAUUGAGAUGAAGUAAUAGCUAGCAACCAAGUUGAUAUCUUUUUGAUUAUUUGCAAACCUCCUGUUUAAGUAAAGCCAUUUCUUAUUAUAUUUUGCAGUAUUAAUUAUCAUUUACAUAGAUUUUGCUGCAGACAUCAUGAGUCUCAUUGUUAAACAUCUAGCUUUCAUGCCUGACCUAUCUGUAUUUAAAUUAGACAUUCACAAUACUGUAUUAACAUUUCAGGUAUGAAGUCCUGGUAGAAAACCUCAUGGAUCCGGCUCAUGUUCCAUAUGCACAUCAUGGACUAAUGAGAGUAAGGAGACGUGUGGAACCUGGCAGAUAUGUAACUCUUAUGAACUUCUAUUUUCUAGUCUUGACUAAGUUUUGUGAAGUAAUUGCUCAUGUAGUUGUAGUAAAUCAAGUGCAUGGUACCAAGUUUAUGUUAACUUAUUGAACUAAACCAUGCUUUGCAGUGAUUUUGUGGAUUAUAACUUAUAUUUCUAGGUUGACUUAUUUUGAAAGAUCGCUAAUAGAUAAGCUUAUUUCACAGCUGAAGCUGAUCGAGAAGGAGGUGGACCUGUAGAAAUAACAAUAGAGGAAUCAAACAAAAGUGGUUUUCAUGCAAAGCAGGAUGCUGGUUAUUUCAGAUUUAUAGCUCCGUGCCUCUUUUAUGGUGCAGCAACUGUUAACCAAUCUGCUACAUCAAGGAAUGUCCAAGAGGUAUUCGUUCAAAGAUAACCUGUUCAAACAGUAUAACAAUGUGGAAAUCACCGCUCUCUCUUUUUCUUUCAUCUUGGUGACUAACUUGUGCUGACUCAGAAUAUUUCAGCUCAACCCCAGCAGAGGUUCAAGAGGUUUCUUCUCAUAUUUAUGUGCAUCCCAGUCAGUCCUGGAAGAAGCCGAGUAAUUUUCACAUUCCCAAGGAAUUUUGCAGUUUGGAUUGACCGAUUUUUUCCACGAUGGAUAUUUCAUAUGGGACAAAACCUUAUUUUGGAUUCAGAUCUUUAUCUUCUCCAUGUAGAGGUACUAUCCAUAUCCCUUGCUUUUUAUCUCUGUGCCAUCUUAUUGUUUAGGUUUUCAACAAGGAAACUCUCAAGAUGGCUAUCCUAUACCCCUUCCUUUUUUUGUUGAUUGUAAUGUUUUAUCAGAAUUUUGUAAUUUUUUUACGUGACCACUGAAACACUUGGCUUGUGUGUUAAAAACAUAUAACCAGGUUUCCAGGAUUUGAUUCACUUGGUUCUUUGGGGCUAUUUCCUCGUCAGUUGAUGACACUUAUUUUGUUUUCCAUCUAGAUUGUGCUUUCUGGUCAUAAUCUGUGUCUUGCUGAAGAUACCAUCAUAAACUUGUUUUUAACGCCUUUUUGAUUAAUGCCAACUCUUUUUGACCCAUUAAUAUACCUCCUUUCGGUUUUACUAAAUUCUCUUUAGGAGCGCAAGAUCGCGAAAGCUGGCUUUUCCAAUUGGUUCAAAGCUUGUUACGUGCCAACAAAGUCAGAUGCCAUGGUUAUAGCCUUCAGAAACUGGUUAAGAAAAUAUUCAAACAAUCAGGUUAACUGGGGGAGCAUGUCUAGCGAGCAGCUUCCACCAACUCCUCCGAGAGAGCAGCUGAUGGACAGGUACAACAAUAUUUGGAGUGGAUGCCUUCAUUCUCUGGUUGUGAUGAAUCACUGGUUAUAUACUCUUUAUUUAGUAGAUUAUUGUAGAUUUUAUAUUUGUUACACUGAAAAUUCAUUUAUUGACACAUAUGCAACUUUACCAUCUUAUUUUUUUUUUUUAAUAUAUAUACACAGUUGAAACUGCAUUUUCUUUGAUGGGAUUGUUCAUUAUUUAUACACCUUGGAGAUUUGUUUGACAAUAGUUUUUCACUUCUUUAUGUUUCUUUUUCAAACGAAAUUAAGCUCGCAAGCUGAUUUACAGUAACACUGGCACACUCCAUAGCACAGAAUUUGGAUUUUUUUUCUUUUAAAAAUGGAUAAACAAUAGUGCAACCAAGUGGGACCUAAAUUUUCGAAGGUGGUGUAUGAAGUUCAGAUUUAGUUGGAAUACGUGUAAAUAGAUAAUUUUUCAUUGGGAAUAAUGUUAUUGUUUCGUAAUUAUUAAACAAGUAGGAAGCGAGCUAAACUUCUCUUGUUCUAUAUAAUUUCUUUUCAGAUACUGGUCGCAUGUUGUGCAAUGCAGUAGCUGCCGUGGAGGAUUGAAAUUUCUAAAGGCCCUCGAGUUUUCUCUUCAAGUUCUCUCGUUAGCCCUAAUUGGGACUGUUGCAGCUGCCAGACAUAGUUUAACUUCAGCCACCGCAAGGAAUUCUAUCGUCUUUGCAGCAGUACUGUGUUUUGCGGCUUCACGGUGGCUCUCUCAUUUCAUCUACAAGACCUUCUAUUUCCAUGAUUACAACCAUGCUUUCAAAUGAUUACUCUGCAGGUCAGACCUUCUCUUAACAAAAUAUAGUAAACAUUAUUUACCUUCCUUCUGUGAUACUCCGUCAUAACUGCAAUAUUGAUGUAUAUAACUGAACAGACAUACAUGAUACAUAAUCUCUGUCACAAAAUUGUAAUUAUAAGGCAUCUUACCAUGCGCAGUUAUAGAAAAUUCUGCAUCGGGUUCUUUCAAUUUUACAUCCCCGAGCGUUAGCAUUGGAAAUUGCAGCUUUUCUUAUGUUCUUAUACCUUGUUAUUCCCCUAGUUAUGGAAAACCCUAUGUAAUUGCUAUCUCCAGAGUUCUUCAUAAAGCCCGGGCUUUGUAAAUGUGCAUUAGUGCUACUAUCACCUUCGAAUUAUUUAUAAGAGUCCUUUUUGCAUUUAGCCCCCUAUAUUUUUUUUUGGGUUAAUUACACCAAGGUCCCUAACUUUUACACAGUUUUUCAAUUUUGUCCCCAACCUUUUUUUUUUUUUUUGUGCAAUCAAGUCCCUAAUCUUUUGAUUUCAUUUCAAUUAAGUCCCAAUCGUUAGACAGCCGUUAAAAUUGACGGAAAAUGCCACGUCAGCACCACAGAGGCGCCAUGUCAGCGCCACGGUGGCGCUGUGUCAGCGGAUUGCAAAAAAAAAAAAAGGUUAGGGACCAAAUUGAAAAAUGGUGCAAAGGUUGAGGACCAAUGGUGUAAUUAACCCAUUAAAUUUAUAAAUUCAAAAAAAUUUUAUUUAAGAUUUAAAUUUUAAAUUUAAAAUUUUGAAUUUUUUUUAGGGACUAAAAUGAAAAAUGUGCAAAGUUUAGGGACCUAAUUGAUAUGCAAAAGGUUGCCAUAUAGACGUUGACGUGGUGAUUCCGUUAAUUUUAACCCUUUUUUUAACGGUUGAGACCUAAUUGUAAUAAAAUCAAGACGUUAGGGACUCAAUUGUAAAAAAAAAAAGGUUGGGGAUUCAAGUGAAAAUUGGUGGAAAUGUUGGGGACUACUGGUGUAAUUAACCCUUUUUUUUUUUACAAAUGAUCCCAAUAAAUUUAUAUUUCGAGAAAUGACACUCUUCAUGCCACGCAAAGCUUUAUGUUGGACUCGGAAGAGUCAUAUAAGCGUUUUAAGUUGAACAUGAUGAUUUAGUUAUUGUGUUUAAACACGGUAAUUGGAUUAUCGUGUUUCUUUUUUGUGUUUUUCACCGUAUUUGUUUUAUUUUUCAUCUCUCGUAAGUCGAAGAAUAGAGGGACUAAAGUAUGGUUAUAAAUACGGUAAUUUCAUCACCAUGUUUAAACACAUUGAUUGAAUUAUCGUAUUCAACUUAACAUAAUCUUCUUUUGUUAAACGUGGUGCUUGUGUGGCAAGGAGAUGGUUAUUUAUGUAAAUAUAAAUUUGCUAAGGCUAUUUAUUAAAAUAAAAGUUGUGAGGGACCUAAAUGCAAAAAAAAAUCCAUAUUUAUAUUUGAGUUUUUCAAUAAUUGAACAAACUUAACAUAUUGCUCUCACAUUACUGCUGAUUGUCUUGUUUUCGAAAUAUAAUAAUUUGUGCAAAGAAGCUGAUAUUAACUUUUCUUAUUCCGUUACGCGCGGAGCAAGCCUAAUUUUUUUUUCUACUAUUUUACAAUUAUAUCAUCUAUUUAUUUAACUACAUUAAAGGAGGGUUUGGGAGACCUUAGAGUGACACGUGUCCCCCCAACCCUCCUCUUCUCUCUCCUUCUAUACACACACAACAACACACACAACACACACAGCACACAACAUAUAUAUAUAUAUAUAUAUAAUAUAUAUAAUAUAUAUAGUAUAUAUAUAAAUUUAAAAUUUAAAAAUUUUGAUAAUUUUAAAUUUUAAAAGUUUAAAUUUUAAAUUAAUAUUUUUAUAAUUUAAAUUAUAAUAUUUAUUUUAAAUUUUAAACUUUUUAAAAAUUUAAAAUUUAAAUCUUAAAUCUAAUAAUACGUGUAAAUACAUUAAAGGAGGGUUUGGGGACUUACCGAGUACACGUCGUCCCCCAACCCCUCUUCUCUUCCUUUCUUUACACACACACACCAACACACAACUACAACACACACAUAUAUAUUAUAUAUAUAUAUAAUUAUAAUAUAUAUAUAUAAUUAUAUAAUUUUAAAAUUUAAGAAAUUUUGAUAUUUUUAAAGUUUUAAAAGUUUUAAAUAUUAAAUUUAUAUUUUUAUAUUAUUAGAUUUAUAAUAUUUAUUUUAAAUUUUAAACUUUCAAAUUUAAAAUUUUAAAUCUCUAAAGAUUUUUAAUAAAUACGCGUAAUAAAUCGCGUAAUAUAAAUUUAACGCUAAUAAAAUGUAAUUUAAAUUACAUAAAAUCUAGGUUUUAGUCAAUAUUAUAAUAUAUAUUAUACGUAAUAUAUUAAUAUAUAUUAUAAUAUAUAUAUAUAUAUGUAUAUAUGAUAUAUAUAGUAUAUAUUAUUAUUUAUAUUAUUUAUUGAUUAUUAUUAUUAGUUAUUAUAUCUAAGCAUUAAGGACGGGUUAUGGGGUAGACCUUGUAGAUGGACAGCUUGUCCCCCAACCCUCUCUUUCUCUCUCUUCUUUAGCAAACACAUCACGACACACACACAGCACACACACACAACACACACAAUAAUAUAUAUAUAAUAUAUAAUAUAUAUAUAUAUAAAAAUCUUAAAAAUUUAAAAAAUUUCUGAUAUUUUAAAUUUUAAAAGUUUUUAAAUUUUAAAUUUUAUUUUAUAUUUUACAUUAUGAAUAUUUAUUUUUAAAUUUAAACUUUUCAAAAUUUAAAUUUUAAAUUUUCUCUAGAUCUAAUAAUACGCGUAAUAAAUCGCGUAAUAAAAUUUACUAAUAAAUUAUUUAAAAUUACAUAAAAUACUGGCUGUAAAAUAAAAAAUAUAGAAUUCUAUUUAGGACUAAAAAUUUUAGAAUAUAGUGUAUAGUGUAAUAUAUCAAUUAUUUAUUAAAUAAUUUUUUUUACAAUUUUACAUUUUUUUUUAUUUAUUGGUUUUCUUAAAUUAUUUUGAUAGAUUUAUCUCAAAUUCUUUUCAUAUAAAUUUUAUAAAAUAAAUUAUUGUAUAAAUUUACUUUGCGCAUAAUUAUUUUUAUAUAACAUUUUAUUUAAUUAAUAAUUAGACUUAUAAAACUAUAUAAAAAUAUUAAAAAAUAUAUAAUUUAUUAUAAAAAUAAUUUUAUAUCCGCAGCAUCGCGCGGGUAAUUUACUAGUUAUUCAUUAAAUGAUAGUGAUCUGUUUCUAACAUAAUAUGUGUUGUUUUUUUUUCUUUUAUUUUAUCAACAACUUAGAAAUACAUCCAGCAUUACAAGGGAGAUCAGAUUGUAAGAUAAUAUGAUCUUACAAAGUUGCAUUGGCAAGAGCAUGAGCUUCUACAAAGGCCCAGUGCGUUAUCAGAAAGAAUAGCGAGAACUUCUUUCCACACAUAUCUGUAGAUAAUUGUAUAGAAUGCUGCCCACGAACUAAUUAGUUGAAGUGUAUGUAAAAUAGCAUAUAAUUUUUCCUCGGCAAUAGAGCAGGCGUAGAUAAGUUUUUUUUUUUUUUUUUUUUGAGAGAAAGAUAGCAUGCUAUCCACUUUAUUUUUUUUAGAAAUAAAUUUAGUUGAAAAUGUGAAUAAACUAAGAUUCGAAUUUGAGACCUCAGAUACCAAUCACUAAAUUCUCUGCCACUUGCACCAGGGUCGGUCAGUUAGGCGCAAAUAAACUUAGUAAGAUAAUUGGGGCCGAAGGUACUUGUACCUUUAGCCUGCGUUUGGUGUUGGUAUAAAUAAAAAUUGCUUAUUUCAAGAAUAAAUACAAGUUGAGGUAUAAGUAGGAAUUAUAUUAAUUUUAUAUUUGCAUGAAAAUUGAGUUGUUUUUGGAGAAUAAGAUAGUGGUGUUUAGAUACUUUAGAUUAGAACAGAAGGAAUAAAAAUUAUAAUUUUAAAUUAAAAAUAUUUUAUUAAUUAUAAAAAUAACAACUUUUUAAUUAGUUAUUUUAGUUAGAUAAUUAGUUAAAGAUGAAAUAGAUUAAUUAAUCAAACUAUUAAUGAUUGAUCAAUUUAAAUAUCGGUUAUUGAAUGAAUUGAUUAAAAUGUUAAUUUUAAUUAAUUAAUUAAUUAUAAAUAAUAAAUAAAUUAAUUACUUUACUAUUUAAACAAAUAUGUAAUGACUUAAAUACAUUAAUUAGAUUAAUUAAUAAUUUAAUACCAUAAUUAAAAUUAGAUUAGAUUUUAAUUAACUUUGUUUUUAUUUGGAAACAAAGUUUGUUCAAGAAAGGAUGGUGGAACAGCUCUUUCAAGAUCAUACGGGAUUAUACCAGCUUAUUUUAGACAUAGAAAAUUUACUAUUUUCAGAUGAAAAAAUCAGCGUGCCAUUUUGUUCCCGAACCAAACACAAUCUUAAGGAUCAAAGUGUCACAACAGUCAUAGUUUGAGGACCAAAAAGUAUAGUUUAGCUAAUUCCCAUAAAACAAAACUGAACAAGGCUCACACACUUCCAACCGUCGCUUCUUCAUCCUCACAUUCCCUGCUCAAAACUAUCCUCCUCCCACUCCCCCUCCCCUCGAUCUUCAUCAUCCACUAUGCUAUCUCUCAUCACCCUCCCUUCUCCUCGCCUCUUCCCCACUCCCUCUCCUUCGCCACCCAAAACCCUAAACCCUAAACCCUCUCCUCCCCUCUCCCUCCACCACCACCUCCGCCGCCACCGCAGUCCCGCACGAACCGCCACCACCGUUCUCCGCUCCCACGGCCUCUCCUCCGCCCCCUCCCCCGCCCUCUCCGACGCCUCCGACCCCUUCGACAUCGGCGCCGGCCAGGGCGACGAUGCGAAGUUCGAUUGGUACGCCCAAUGGUACCCGGUGGCUCCCCUGUGCGACCUCGACAAGCGGGCGCCGCACGCGAAGACGGUGAUGGGGCUCGACGUGGUGGUGUGGUGGGACCGGGCCGAGGGGCGGUGGCAGGUGUUCGACGACCGCUGCCCCCACCGCCUCGCCCCGCUCUCCGAGGGCCGCAUCGACCCCCGCGGCCGCCUCCAGUGCGUCUACCACGGCUGGUGCUUCGACGGCAGCGGCAACUGCAAGUACAUUCCCCAGGCGCCGUCCAGCGGCCCCCAGGUCAGCUCCAUUUGGGGUUCUAAAACAUGAUUUACUCGUGUUUUACUUUUGAAUUAGUGUAGUUUUCUAGAUGGUUCUUGUUUUAGAAUUGCAUCAUAUAAUUGGGAGCUCAAUUGAGUGCAAAUUGGGCACUAGUUGUGUGAUGUGAUGUCUCAUGGGAUGGGAAAUAAAUUAUGAUUGAGGAUGUUAGAACCAAAGGCUGACUUUGUAAUAAUAACUGAACUUAAGCGGGACUCUUGAUUUGGGCCCAAUGAGUUAUUAGUGUUAGACGUCGGAUCGUUACAUUUGGGGCCUUUGGAGCCUCUUUAUUUAACCGUAAGUGGGCUUUGGAUUGAACUACAGUUCAGAUGAAGAUUACUUCUCCUCCAUUGUUUGUUUUUAUGGCUGCCGAAGUAAAGUUUUUCCACUUCUGUUGUUUAUUUGGCAGAAAGUGAAUGAUGUAAAAAGUGAAGUUCCUCACUUCCUAUGUUUCUUUUAUCGAAAACUCUUGAGUCCUCACACUCCCAGUAAACUGGCCUCCUAUAUAGGGAUGUAAUGUCGGCCGUGCCGGGCCAAAGUUCUUGGAACCCGGCCCAGCACUGCCCCCCGGCCUGGACUGCACUGGCCGUGCCGGGCCGGGCCGGGCUUCGGGCCAGCUCUUUUUUAUUUUAUUAAUUUUAUUUAAAAAUAUUUAAAUUUUUUAAAAAAUAAAAAUAAAAAUAUUAAUUUUUUAAAAAAUAAUAUAUCAGUAAAAAAAAUUAAAAUUUUAAAAUAUAUUUAUAAAAAUAUUAAAAUUUUAAAUUAUUUUUAAAAUUUUAAAGUUUUUGGACCAAAAUAUCCUCCCAACAGUCAAUUUUUGACUGUUGGGAAGGGCAUUUUAGUUCAAGCUCAAUUCCCAAAGCCACAGCCCAACUCUUUGACUCUUGGGAGUCCCAAAGUAACAGCCCAACUCCCAAAGUGGGAGUUGGGUGGUGCAAGGCCUUGGGAGUUGGGUGGUACCCAGUGCUUGAAAAGACGCGAGGCGCAAAAAGGCGCAAGACCUUUUUGGAGCCUAGGCGCGAGGCGCACUACGAGGCGCGCGCCUCAAGAAGGCAAGGCCCACAUUUACUAAAUCUAAUUUAAUUUGAUAUUCCACAUUAAAAAAAAACUCCAAAAUAACCAUACAAAAGUAAAAUAACUAUCAAAAAGUAAAGAAAUUUGUUUUGCCAGGCUGAAGCUAGCAGCAUCAGCGUUUUUGGAUUCCAAUUCCAACAAGAAACUCUAAGGGCUUGUUUGGUUUAAGGGUGGAAUUGGAAUGGAUAAUGGAAUGGGAAUGAAUUGGAAUGGUAAUUGGAAUGGCCCACUCCCCCAAGACGUUUGGUUUAUUUGUGGAUUGAGAAUUGGAAUGAGUUAUUCACAUUUCAUUGUUUUGUUCGUAUAAACUAAAAAAAUUAUAGGAUACUAUAAUACUAAUUUUUCUCUCAAAUAUAAAUUUAUAUUAUUUAAAAUUUAUGAAAAAUAUAAUACUAUUCUCUAAUAAGUUUUCCAAAAACAAUAUCAAAUUUAUUUUUAAAAACUUUUAUUGAUGUUGGUUAGGGAUAGGGUUUUAAGAGAGGAUAGAUUUUUUUUUUUUGAUGAGAAAGGGGGUGAAGAGAAGGAGGGUAAGAUGGUCACAUGAACUUCGAGAACUUAGUGGGCUUCCGGAAUGAAAUCUCAAUCCGGGCUAGAAGACCGGAAUCAAGUUGAAGGCUAAUGGGCCAUUCCCAUUUCAGUUCGGAAUAGGAAUCCCAAACCGAUUCAUGCGAAUCAAACAAAAUUAACCGGAUUUGAUCAAACCGAUUCCCAUUCCAUACCCAAAAUGGAUGAACCAAACAAGCCCUAAAUGUUUUCAUUGCCAAACACUUGGCAUCUGCCCUAGAUGAAAAAAAAAAAACAUUUGGGAAAAAAUAAAAAAAAUAUUAAAAGGAAUCAAAUCCUAUAAAUAAUAACUAAAAACAAGUUCAAAACAAAAAACUGGAUCAAGAAAUAUGCAAUCGAAACAAAAAAAGUAAAAACAUAUGAAAAAAAAAAGAAAAAUCUCAAAAAUACAUCAAAUCCUGAAAAAAAUAACUAAAAAUAGAUUCAAAGGAAAAAUAUUGGAGUAUAGAGGCAAUACUUACUUGAUUGCUGCUUGUUCUUGCUUUCUUGCUGCCGCUGCUCCUGUUUCUGCUGCUGCAGUGCCGCUGUAAAUAAAAAAACUGAUGCUGCUCUUGACAAUAGAUGCUUGCUGAGUGCUGACCACUGCUCCUCCUUGCUUCUUCCUACUGCGGAUGCUUGCUGGAUGCGAAGUUGCCCACGGAUAGAGAAGGGAUAGGGAGAGAAGGGCGGUAGAAGGAGAGGGCAGUAGAUGAUUUCAUUAGGGUUUUUUUUUAUGUUUCUUAUAGAAUCUUUUACUAAGCUUAUCGGGUUAAAACAUAAAAUUUAUACCCAAAAUCCAACAACCCGAAAACCUUAGUCCAAAAUCCAAGAAAUAUUAAAUAUGCUGAGGCGCGCGCCUUAUGUGCGCCUCGCGCCUCGCCUGAGGCGCGCGCCUCAGGGCCUAGGCACGCGCCUCAGCACUAGCGCCUCGCCUCACUAUUGCUGAGGCGCUGAGGCCCGUGCCUCGCGCCUAAGCGCUAAGGCGCGCGCCUCAGGCGCACCUUUUCAAACACUGGUUGUACCCAACUCCCAAGUCCCUGCCUGGGCGCGGCUCGGGAGGGCCUGACCACACAGGCCGGGCCGUGCUGUGCCUGGGUACCCUCUAGGCCCGGCAUAGCCCAGGCCUAUGUCGUGCCGGGCCGUGCCGGGCCAUCGGGCCACGGGAGCAAGGCUCAGCACGGCCGAUUUGACUGGCCGACUCCUAUAUGACAUUGUUGCCUUUUAUAUAACUUAAUAAAUAAUAAUUUAUAAUAUAAUAAAUAAAAAAUAAUAUAAUUGUAUCUCGAUAUAAUUAUAAAAUGUAAUUUAAAAUAACUAAAUUUAUUUUUUUGUGUAUAAAUGAUAAUAAUGCAACAAUAAAAUCCUAAAGUGAAAGAAAUAUCAAAAUUCAACUAAUCAAUUUUCACUUUAUUUUAAAUGUGCAAACUAAAUAAAAGAUAUAUUAAAACUUAACUAAUCAAUCUCCAUCACAUUUUAUACGCGCAAACUAAUGAGUUGUUACUUUUUUCCAUCACGGCCGCACUUCAUUUGAGGGCAUUUGCCACCUCUCCAACACAUGAGACGAGGCCAACAAGGUAAGGAUCUGCCUGAGGUCUUUUGGCACUUGAACGAGGCCCUGGGCUAGGUGGCUCUAUCAAUUGCACAUCUACUAACGACUCGAUCAAUCGCAUAGCCGCUGCAGCUCGAUCAAUCGCACAGUUGCAUAACUGAGUCUCAUACGGUCCAUCUGGUCUAGCUUGUACCUGGCCAAGUGGCACAUUGAUCAAUUGCACAUGCCCACUAAGGCCCUCGACUAGGUGGCUCCAUCAAUAGCACAGGCACAACCAUCUGCGACUGAAUCAAUCGCACAGCCGCUGCAGCUCGAUCAAUCUCACAGCUGCAAGGGAUACCUGCAGAGGAUCCACUAGCUGGGGAGCGACUCCACGCGAGUACACAAUACAGUUGAGACCUCUUGCAUUAACAGAGAAUAACUUAACCUCAUCUCGUGAUCUACAGAUCAUAUCAAUCUCCACUCAACAAGGUAACAACAAGUGUCAUAGGAGUAGAGGUCUUCUGGACUCACGACAUCAAAUCAGUGUACUAGAUAAACACAACAUCUUGACAUAUCAAUAAAUACAGAUUGCAAAAUCUAAUUUCUUAUUUACAUAAUGUCCCACUACCUCAACAAUGGCAAAGACAUGAAAUCAGUAUACGACUCAAUCCAUCAAUAAUAUAAACAAUCUGACAAGAAUCCCCAACAUUGAUCGAUAAAUAUCCAGAAUAAUACCACCAAUAUCAUAACUAUGAAUGAUAUACCAAAGAUACAAUCAUGCAAGAGAAUUAACAGGCAUCUCAGAAAUUUAGGCAUACAAGAUGAAUAGACAUAGUGAUUAGUUCAUCAGUUUCAGCGACAAUGGAACCAACCUGGAUAGUUGUUAGAAAGAAAGCAAGGAGGAAGAAGAGAUUGUCGAUACCAAGAAGUCUAGCAAUCCUUAGCAGCAAGAAUUAGUACUCUAGUCUUCUCCACUCCUUUUCUUUUCCUCUCCUUCCUCCUUUUUUUUUUCUUUCCUUUCCUUUUUCUUUUCUUUCUUUCUUUCUUUCUUUCUUUCUUUCUUUCUCUUCUCCCUCUGUUACUUCUCUCGCUCUCUCUCACUCACGCAUAGGGUAACCCCUAGAGAAGCUGCUCUGUUUUAUAUAUAUAUAUAUAUAUAUAUGAGUCCGGCUGGAUACUAUCGAUAGUUACCAAGGAUUUGUGCUAUCGAGUUUUCCACCGUUAAUUUAAUCGCUCUGAUUUAUUUUUACCCCCGUUAGCUUAUACUAUUCAACCAACUACUCACAUCACCCUAGGGACCCACAUCAUCCUAACCAUCCCAUUUCUCAAUCUAAGGGCAAAAAUCAAUAAGCACCAAUAGCUUGAUGCUAUUGAUAUGUAUUCCAGCCUAGUUCUCUCUCUCUCUCUCGGGGCCCGGAGCCCUCUCUUCUCUCUCAUCCACACCAGUAGACGGCCGCACCUCUCCCCCCGUCUCUCUUCUCGCUUCCCCGGUUCUCUCUCCCUCUCCUCUCUCUCUCUAAUAUAUAUAUAUAUAAUAAUAUAUAUUAAUAUAUAUAUAUAUAUUUGUAACAAUUGUGGAAAAGCCCUCAGAGUCUGAAAGAUUGCACCUUUAUAGAAAAAUACACUUUCGGGUGAUCGAAUCCCACUUUUAGGCAUCUGAAACUUCACGAUUGAGGACUUUCGGGCGUUCGUUCCAAGUAUUGGGCCAUCUGAAAGCUACGUAAAUAUGCUCGAAUCAUCUCAUGGGCGCCUAGACCACAGACCGAAUUCUCGUUUGUACGCCCUAAAUUCUUCCGGGUGCUCAGAACCAGUGUCCGAAACUAGCUGAGUCAACUGCUGAGUCACCAAUGCACCGCCUCAAUCACAUCCAUGCAUCGACCUUUUUUCCGGGCUUCUACAGUGACAUUGGGCGCCCUCAACAUAGGGCCCGAAUUCAACCGAAUUCGCAAACUAUACUCUCAGGUGUCCACAAGUGAGUUCCAAACUUACCACGGCUUUGAACAAUGCUUUCGAGCCCCCUAUUCCUCAUUCCGAGGGCCCUAUUUCUCAUUCCAGGCGUACGAAAACCCAUAAAACUCAAUUUCAGCUUAGUUUAUGCUCCAAAAGCCCUUUUUCGCCUCCGUUUUAUGCCAGGACAAAUCUAACUUAAUCCAACAUCGCACAGACACGCCGAUCAUUGACACAAAUUUCAAUUUAGUCUAUUGGCCAAACUCCAAUAUACUACAAUCCCCACUUUCGCCAAAACAAACAAGCCCUACUUUCGCCAAAACAAAGAAGCCCCACUUUCGCCAAAACGAACAAGCCCCACUUUCGCCAAAACAAACAAGCCCCACUUUCGCCAAAACAAACAAGCCUUUGGUAUCAAAGCUGGUUUGCCAGCCGAAAGUGUGAGAUGGGUCUUACAUCAGGUGAUCUUGGAUUAGGGAAUGCCUAAGGAAUUGGACCUAAUAAGGACAUUAGGAUUCAAACGAGGGGAGCUUGUGAUGCCCCAUUAGUCCCAUGUUGGCUUAAUAAUUGAUUUAAGCAUUUUGGGCCCGAAGGGAUAUUAGUGCUCAAGGCUGGGUUGUUACAAGUUGUGCUUCCAUCAUGUUAGAGGUGAACUUUGAUGGAGGUGGUGUAUUUUUUGGUGUUCCUUAGCACAUGGAUUGUUCAAGAUAAUUUAUUUCUUGCUGGUAAUCUAGGUUAAGUUGUACACAGUAGAACUUCAGGCGUCAGGUUAUACAAACAAACAAACUAUUUUAAUUUGGACAUGCUAGUUUUCUUGGAAGCAAAGAUAUUAGCAUGACAAAUAUGAACGAUAAUGAAGAUUGUUAAGGUGUCUUUCCUGAGUCCUAAUUGGAUUAUCCACCCUAACUUUUUGCAAUUUCAACUUCUGGAUUAUCCACCUUAUUUUUUGCAAUCUUAACUUAUGGAUUAUCCACCAUUAUUUUUGCAAUUCUAACUUCAUAAAAUAAUUAAAUUAUCUUGUGCGAGUAAAAUUCUUUGGGUUAUAGUAUCCCUGCAAAUAAGGUGCAUGCAGCACCUCUCAAUUCAUAUGUACCUUCUUGAUAUGUGGCCAAUUUUUCAUACAGAAGCAAACUGCAGAAUUAUUUAACAUUCAUAAAAUGCUUGAUUUUGCGCUAAUGCCUAAAUUUAUUGUUAAUAGAUAAAGAUAAUUGGUUACCAUGUGUGAUAAGCAAAAUUUUGGUGCUUGGACAUUGUGAUAGUUGCCUCAUGAGCUUGUUGACAUUAUUACGUGUUUUAUCAAUCUUUUCUUCAUGUGAUUGUGUUAACACUGAAUUGUAUGGUUUACCGUGUAUACUCUCAGGUUCAUUUGAACAGUAAGGCUUGUGCUGCUGUUUAUCCUAGCGUUGUACAGAAUAAAGUUUUGUGGUUUUGGCCUAGCACUGAUCCUCAGUACAAGGAUAUCUUAGAGAUGAAACGACCUCCGUACAUCGAAGAGUUGGAUGACCCAUCAUACACCUGUUCGAUGGGAAUAAGGGAACUUCAAUAUGGGUAUAAUUCUAUUCUCUAUUGUUGCUGUAUCACUCUUAGCAAGCAUAGCUACACAUACAAGUGUAUGUAUAUAUAAAUAAAUCUUUAUGUGCACAUAAUUUCUAGAUCCUAAAGCAAAUAUUUUUUUGAGUAGCUUGUUUUUUCUCACAUCUUUCUUUGUUCACACACUCAUUCUUACACCUUUUUGUCCACCAGUCUUGUUCACAACUCACAUUCCAUUGGAACUAUUAAGAAGGAUGGUUAAUCUGUUUUUGUCCAGCAUAAGAAGGGUGCAUAUUUUCUGAACUUUGUGUAUAUUUAUUGGUAGAUCAACAGUUUCGCUCUGAUUUCUAAACUAAUGUCAAUUGAUGGCUCAAACUUCAUCAAGUUGUUCAAUCGAAUCCUAUCAGUGGCUUAUCCGUGAGGGAUGAUGGACUGUUGUAGGUGGGUGGCAGCUGAAGGUUUGCAUGUUGUUCCACAUAAACAUUUUAAUUGAAAACUUCCAUGCUCAAAUGUUGGAAGCUACCUUAGGGCAAAAUUUUGGUGACUAGGAUGCAAUAUUAAGUUAGUUAAAAUGAUUUGUGAUGAUGCAUUGGGUUUCCCUCAAGUUCCAUGGAUAGAAGUUGAUGUUAGGACCUGAUUGAAUUGUUUAAUAUAGUUUGAGCCUUCAAUUAAAUUAAAAUGACGUAAUAGUUAGAAACCAAGUUGAUAUCUGGUUGAUUAUUUGCGGAGCUCGUGUUAAUCAAACCCAUUUCUUAUUAUACUUUUGCAGUAUUAAUUAUCAUUUACAAAGAUUUUGCUAUAGACAUGAGUCUCAUUGCUAACCAUCUAGCUUUCAUGCGUGACCUAUCUGUAUUUAAAAUAGAGAUUACUAAAUAAACAUUUCAGGUAUGAAGUCCUUAUAGAAAACCUCAUGGAUCCAGCUCAUGUUCCAUACGCACAUCGUGGAAUAAUGAGAACAAGGAGACGUGUGGAACCUGGCAGAUAAGUAACUCUUAUAGACUUCUCUUUUUUAGCAUUACUAAGUUUUUUUUCAGUGUUGGGCCUAUUGGCCCACAUGGUCUUGAACUAAACCAAGCUUUGUUGUGAUUUAUUUGAUUCCAAUAUAUAUUUCCAGGUUGACUUAUUUGGAAAGAUUGCUAAUAGAUAAACUUAUUUCACAGCUGAAGCUGAUCGAGAGGGAGGUGGACCUAUAGAUAUAACAAUAACAGAAUCAAGUAAAAGCGGUUUCCUUGCAAAUCUGGAAUUUGGCUAUUUUAAAUUUGCAGCUCCAUGCCUCUUUUAUGGUGCCGGAACUAUUAGCCGAUCUGCUUCAUCUAGGAAUGUCCAAGAGGUAUUCAUUCAAAUAUAACCUGUUCAAACAGUAUUACAAUGUAGAAAUUUCUGCUCUCUUUUUCUUUCAUCUUAGCAACUAAGUUGUGCUAAUUCAGAAUAUUUCAGCUCAACCCCAGCAGAGGCUCAAGAGGUCUCUUCUCAUAUUCAUGUGUAUUCCAGUCAGUCCUGGAAGAAGCCGACUGAUUUUUGUACUUCAAAGGAAUUUUGCUGUUUGGAUUGAGCUAUUUUUUCGGCGAUGGAUGCGUCAUGUGGGACAAAACCUUAUUUUGGAUUCUGACCAUUAUCUUCUCCAUGUAGAGGUACUAUCCAUGACCCUUGCGUUUUAUCUCUUUGCCAUCUUACCGUUUAGCUUUUUAGGUAGGAAAAUUUGAAGAUGCCUAUCAUAUAUUCCAACCUUUACUGUUUAGUGUGAUAUCUUAUUGAGCAUUUUGCAGUUUUUUUACAUGAGCACUGAAAUACUUGGUUCGCGUGUAUAAACAAUAUUCAGGUUUUCCAGUUUGAUUCAUUUUGGUUAUUUGGGGCUGUUCCUUGUUAGUUGAUGACGCUUAUUUCAUUCUCCAUCUAAUUGUGCUUUCUGGUCAUAAUCUAUGUCUUUCUGAAGAUACCAUCAUAAACUUGUUUUAAUGCUUUUUUGAUUAAUGCCAACUCCUUUUGGCCUAUUAAUAUACCUCCUUUUUACUAAAUAAGCACUUAUCUUCAGGAGCGCAAGAUCGCGAAAGUUGGCUUUUCCAAUUGGUUCAAAGCUUGUUAUGUGCCAACAAAGUCAGAUGCCAUGGUUAUAGCCUUCAGAAACUGGUUACGAAAAUAUUCAAACAAUCAGGUUGACUGGGGGAACAUGUCUAGCGAGCAGCUUCCACCAACUCCCCCGAGAGAGCAGCUGAUGGACAGGUACAACAAUAUUUAAAGUGGAUUGCUUCAUUCUCCAGUUGAUCAAUCACAGUUUAUAUACUCUUUAUUUAAUUGAUUAUUGGAGAUUUUGUAUAUGUACCACUGAAAAAUCAUUUAUUGACAUAUAUGCUACUUUACUAACUGAAUUUUUAUAUAUAUACACCCUUGAAACUGCGUUUUCUUUUGAUGGGAUUGUUCACUAUUUAUACACCUUAGAGAUUUGUUCGACAAUAAUUUUUCACUUCUUUGUCUUUCUUUUUCAAAGUAAAAUGAGCUUGCAAGCUGACUAACAAUGAUACCUGGCUUGCUCCGCAACAUAGAAUUUGAUUUUUCCUUCUUUCUUUUAAAAGUGGAUAAACAAUAGUGCAACCAAGCGGGCCUAAAUUUUCGAAGGUGAUUUGCGAAAUUCAGAUUUUGCCGGAAUACAUGUAAAGAUAAUUUUGCGUCGGGAAUAACGUUAUUGUUUCGUAAUUACCAAACAAGCAUGAAGUGAGCUAAACAUUUUCUGUUCUAAUCAUAUUCCUUUCAGAUACUGGUCGCAUGUUGUGCAAUGCAGUAGCUGCCGUGGAGGAUUGAAAUUUCUAAAGGCCCUCGAGUUUUCUCUUCAAGUUCUCUCAUUAGCCCUAAUCGGGAUUGUUGCAGCGGCCGGACAUAGUUUAACUUCAGCCACCACAAGGAAUUCCGUUGUCUCUGCAGCAGUACUGUGUUUCGUGGCUUCGCGGUGGCUCUCUCAUUUCAUCUAUAAGACCUUUUAUUUCCAUGAUUACAACCAUGCUUUCAAAUGAUCACUCUGCAGGUGAGGCCUUCUCUUAACAAAAUAAUAAAUAUUAUUUACCUUCCUUCUGUGAUACUCCUUCAUAACUGCAAUAUUGAUGUAUAUAACUGAACAGACAUACAUAUUCUCUCUCAGAAAAUUGUAAUUAUAAGGCAGCUUACGAUGCACAGCUGUUGAAAUUAUGCAACGAGUUUAUUUCAAUUUUACAUCCAUGCGCGCAGCAUUGGAAAUCGCAGCUUCUCUUGUGUUCUUAUAUCUUUUUAUUCUCCUAGUUAAGUUAACAUUUUGCACUUGCAUUAUUGCUGAUUGCCUCGUUUCGAAAUAUACUGAUUUGUGCGAGGAAGCUGAUAUUAAUGGAUGUUAUUUUGUUAGGCACAGAGCAAGCCCGAGUUUCAUUUUUCUAUUAUGUUACAAUUAUUAUAUCAUUGUUCAUCACAUGAUAAGUCUUUUACUUGUAUAAGGUUAAAUUGAAAAAGUGUAUCCAUUUCUGACAAAAUGGGUGUUGUUAUUAUCCCCUUUGUGCAAUAAUUUUUUUUUUUUUUUUGUGGCCAUGCUCUUUUCAGUUUUGGAAACAUGGUUUGGUGUUCAUUUAAUUGACAUUUCUUUCUAUGCUUCUGUUCAGAAGUUACAUGCCUCCCAGUCCCACAUUCGCCUGGACUUCACUGUAAGGUAGCGCACCUUACUUCAGAAUUCAAUUAUCAAAAAUAGUACCUGGCCAAUCAAAUUAUGCCCUUCUAAGCAUACAUGGUCAGGGCAAAUCAAGCUUAGUAAGAUAAUUUAAAUUUUAAGUUAAAAAAAUAGGCAAGAGUAAUUUUGUUUUGUGUACUUUUCUGGUAGAUGACGAUAGCUUGCUGGUGGUAUUAUCUGCAAGCGAAACUGCUUUGGAACCCGCGCAAAUUAGCAAUUGUUUGUUAGUACUUUUUUAAAAGUUAGCAAUCGUUAAAUGCAAAAAUAUUUAAACACCGUUGUCUAUUAGCUUAAGUUUUAAAAUACAGUGGUUGUUUUAUAUAUUUAAUAUGAUAUCAAAACAGUAGAUUUUGAGUUCGAGUCACGUCAAAUUCCUAGUAUUAUUAAUUUUUUUCUAUUUAAUUUAAAUUCAUGUCAUGGGUUUAGUAAAAAAUUUCGAGCUCAGACGAAAGAAAGAGUGUUAAAUAUAAAAAUAUUUAAAUAUAAUUUUUUACUAGUUUAAAUUUUUAGAGAAUAAUAAUUAUUUCGUAAUAUUU